AUCUUCCUCAAAAGUUAAAAAUUGUGCAACUCUAUCUGGAAUUUUGCCUGAGAAGUUAUUGUAUGCUACACUGAAGACCGCCAAUGUAUUUAGCACAGUGAGCUGAGAAGGGAUUUUCCCAUGUAGUAGGUUGUAGGAGAGGUCCAAGCUUUCGAUUUGCUUCAGGUUUGAAAAUGUUGUCGGGAUUGUGCCCGUCNNNNNNNNNNNNNNNNNNNNNNNNNNNNNNNNNNNNNNNNNNNNNNNNNNNNNNNNNNNNNNNNNNNNNNNNNNNNNNNNNNNNNNNNNNNNNNNNNNNNNNNNNNNNNNNNNNNNNNNNNNNNNNNNNNNNNNNNNNNNNNNNNNNNNNNNNNNNNNNNNNNNNNNNNNNNNNNNNNNNNNNNNNNGUAAGAUAUCCAAUUUGAGUAGGAAUCUCACCUGUCAGUUUGUUACAAGAAAGAUCAAUCCCAGACAUACUCGUCAAAAUUCUUCCUUGAUAAUAGUAGGACAUAUUCUUUGUUGUGAAUUGUACAGUUUCUUCCUUUCCCAUCGGAGGUCCACUUUGAGUAGGCAGACAUGGAGAUCCAUAGACAGAUGCUCGAUCACACCAAAUAGAAGUUGGAGGUCCUUCCUCAUGAUAAUCUUCACCGAGUGAAGUGUAAACCAAGCAAGCAGGAAUAUACCCAGAUAGAUUAUUAUGAGAAAGAUCAAUCAACCGCACUUCCUUCAACUCACAUAAUUGAACUGGUAUUUCGCCUUCAAUAUAAUUAUUACCUAGAAGAAGGGAGCUUAACUGAGGAAGUAUGUUAAUCCAAUUUGGAAUACUUCCGUGGAAGCGGUUAUAACUAAGAUCUAAUGUCACCAAAUAAGGGCUGUCAUGGAUUAUACUUUCCAACUGUCCUUCUAUCUUGUUUUUUGACAAAUGAACUUGUUCGAUAAAUGCUGGACUAAAACAAGAUGGUAAGGUUCCGAAAAUAGCAUUGUUUGAAAGGUCUAAAAUUGUCAGAUAAUCUAGCUGACAAAACUCGAUUGGAAUUGGUCCUUCAAGAUUGUUAUUGGACAUUCUAAUAUCUUCUAAAGCUGACAAAUUACCCAACCAUCUUGGAAUCCUACCAGAGAGAUGAUUAUCACUCAGAUAUAAUCCUGCUAACAAACGGCAAUUAGAUAAGCUAUCUGAGAUCUCUCCAGUGAAAUUAUUACCAUCCAACUGCAACCUCAUUAAAUUUGUCAAGUUGAAUUUUUUAGAGAAUAUAUGACCUUGUAAAUUGUUGUUUGACAAUGCAAGAAUUUCCAAUAAGAAGCAACCCGUGGCCAUGCGCUCAGGGAUUUCACCAGUCAACUGAUUGAUUUCACCAGUCAACUGAUUGUAAGUCAACUGAUUGUAGGAUAUGUCCAACCUUUCCAACAUUUUCAUAUCAGCAAAUGAAGAGGGAAUGCUACCGUUGAAAGCAUUUCUAGAUAAGUUUAAAUCCAUUAAGCCAGGCAGAUAUGUUCCGAUUUCUACUGGGAUAUGGCCUUGAAAGAAAUUUUUGGAGACAUCCAAUAUUGCCAAUUUCUGGUAGGAAUGAAUUGGCAUCCGAAAUGAUCCAAAAAGAGAGUUGUUGGCAAGAAGAAGCGUCUCUAAGUUCGUAUUGUUUUCUACCAACCAAUUUGGAAAAUUUCCACUCAAGUUAAGGUGUGAGAGAUCAGCAUUCUUCAAGUCAUGCUGAUGGUACAAGAAUUUGGGAAAUGUGCCACCAUCUAUGUAACCAGACAGUGAGAUACAUGCUGAUGGUACAUCAAGUUAAGGUGUGAGAGAUCAGCAUUCUUCAAGUCAUGCUGAUGGUACAAGAAUUUGGGAAAUGUGCCACCAUCUAUGUAACCAGACAGUGAGAUAGAAGUCAGUUGGAAUUUAGGGGUCACAGAAUUAUAAUGUGACUCAGUUUCUGCCCAUAUUUCACCAUCGAAAGUCUUGAGUUUUGAGUUGAAAAGUGGUUCAAGUGAUGAAAUAGGGAUUUGGAAGAAGUGAUUAUUUGAAAGUAUGAGCUCUUCGAUAGAUGUUAUUUGACGUUAACCUGCACCCAACCCAUGUCCAGAUGUUCCAAAUUCUUGAAUUUACGAAAAUCUACAAGCAGUAAACAAGAAAUGGUUAUAAUUUUGAUAUUGAUCACAUAAUGAAAGGGAAUAAGGAUAAUCCGGUGCUGUUCUUUUCUUUUUUUUGGGUUAAUUUACUUAUUUUUCUUUACUCUUCUAAGCGAUCGAAAUAUUCUUAACAUAACAGAACUAAAAUUUCAUUAACCUUAAUCAAGAAUCCUACAAUUUAGAGAAGGUAGAACUAUUGGACAGUGAAAAUAUAUAAAAUUUAAAAGAAAAAAAAUCUUAUUUUACAAGAGAAAUUUAACUUGAAAAGAAAGAAUCAUUAUCGAAUUAAUAUCACAAAAGCUUCAGAUACCCGUAUUUUACCUUGACCAUGCAGGGCACCCUUGAAUACACUAUCUUGCAUUGACAAAUACUUUAACGAAGUGAAUGAUGCGAUGCUUGACAGAAGCUGGCUUACGUGGAGAUCAGACUUGUCCAAUAUCAAUUCUUCCAAGUUGGUGAAAUUGUGCAAUUCUAUUUAGAAAGAAGUAGAAACAAUAAAUUUUAGCUAUAUAUAUUAAUUCAAUUAUUUUCGACAUAAAAGAUUUACUUACCUUGAUUAACUACUGUUCCUGUAAAAUUAGUAUACGAAAGGUAAAGUGUUUUGAGGGAUGGUAGUGAUCCUAUUGAUUGCAACACCUUACUUCCAUCUAUCAUUGCAAUUUCCGUUCGCCCUAAACGAAGGGUAUUCAACUUCCUCAAACCUCUGAAAUCUAUUUGGGAUACAAUUUCAGAUUAAAUUAUUUUGGGUAAGUGUCAUUGGGCAUUCCCUAAUCAAAUCUAUUAAACUGUCCUCCAAAUUAUUAAGAGUAAUGAUAUAGCCACAAAUUCUUGUACAAAUUUAUUUUGUACAAACUGAUAUGGCAUGAUAAGAUUGGUUGAAUGAAAAUAUAAAUUAAUAAAAACAAAUCAUGUGGGGCAAGUGAUAUUUAAUUCAACCAAUCUUAUCAUGCCACAUCAGUUUGUACAAAAUAAGUUUGUACAAGAGUUUGUGGUUGUAUCAUUACUCAAUUAUUAAUAUUUGAACAUUUUGUAUACCUUUAGGAACCACAAGUUUGUCGAUUGCAUUGUUGCUCAUGUCCAGCUCCUCCAAGUUACUCAAGGAAUUCAGUCCUGCAUUUAUGCCAACACUUAAAACAAGGUUAAUUAUUUAGUCUAAGGGUCUGUUUGGUAUAGCUUCUUCCUGUAGAUCCUACACUAGUAGAGCUUUUAACAAAAUGUUGUUGGUUGUUUAGUUGUCCAUAAUAUCUUUUAGCAAACAAUAACAUCAAGGUAUUUUUGACAAUUCAACCUUUCAAAAAAGCCCAAAAAAUCUCCUAAAAGCUUCCUACAGAGAACAGGAAACAUCAUUUUUAAUCUUCCACAAUCUCUUCCUUAGUUAAACCAAACAAGAAAAACAGUUUGAAACAGUUUUAACAUCUAAAAAAGCUCUUUAGUCCCAUAAAGAAACCAUCUGUGUAUAUCUUGGUCCUUGUAUAUUAUAUUUAGGCUUUGCAAAUAUCUUCUAACACAGUUUGAAAUGGAAGAGUUCUCCCUGGAUUACAUUGAUUCAUUGAAUAGGAAAGAUCUAAACGAUAACUUUUUAAACAAAAACUAUUAAUUAAUGGCUUUCUUUACCAGGCUGUGAUUCUUCAUUUUCAUGGCUUAAUAUAUAAAAUGUAACUAACAUAGGUACAUGGAAGGCUACAGGAACUAGAUGGUUGACGAUGCUAUUCACCCAGUCAUUCAAUAGAUACCUAAUCUUAAUUAAUGUUGAAUUUACUUGUGAAUGUUCUUUUGCAAGACUUGAUUGUGUUUUUACCAGGAUAGUGAAGGCUAAAAUAGGAGUAUAUGGGAUGUUGUUAGCUAUUGCUUAUGAAGGUCUGUAUUAUCAUGAGUUGUCUUUUCUAAUCAGUUCUUGAUUUGACACUAAAGAAGUCUUGCACUAGUUAAUUAGUAAAAUGCGAUGUAAUAAUAAUACAGUCUGUAUAUUUUCUCUACCUCAAUAAUAAUGUAGUCUUUUUAUUAUAGUUCUGCAGGUGUGGGCAAUGAAGGAAGGUUAGAAAAGUUGCCUAACGGUGGUUGAAAGGGGGAAAACAUAAGUUGAGUAGGCAUUAUUUGUGACAUAGUUGUCUUUUUAUUAUUAUUUUUUUUUUGGGUGGGAUUUGGCAGAAUAAGAUGUUGGCAGAAUAGAUUGCUAUUUUACCUUUAAAAAAGAUCAAAUAGAUGAUGCUGGAAAGUUCAAGUCAAAACAAGGAAAAGGGACAAAGAAAUUUCAAUGGAGGUCCAAAGCAAUAUAUAUUCUCUUGGCAGGAGAUCUAGUAAGUCACCUAUCUGGACCACAAGUCUCCUUCUUCCUUCAAAAUUGUAAGGUUCAGUUGGGGGCCCCUGGUUUCUGACUCGAGUUCGUUAAUUGGGUUCGAAGGUAUCUGGAUUAAUCCUGCUAACAUAUCUCCUGAUGGGACAUAUUUGUAAAACAGUUGUAUUCUCUUUCAUUUAGAAUGGCUGUAUCAUACUCUUAUUGGUGCCUAGUAUUUGUGAGUUCAUAAGAGUGAUUUUUACUAUUGUAUGUUGUUAGCAGAUUGUAAUAUAUACACUUUAAUUUUUCCUAGUUAAGUGUAUUAUGUGCUUUUCGUUUGCAAAAUCUGUACGAAACUUUUAUUGUGUUACUCUCAAUAUCAAUAAAGUCGGAUUGUGAGUUUGAAGUUCAGGUUCCGUAUUUGUUAUAUUGGAAUGCAUCCCAAGAAGUAAAUGGGAUUUGGUUCUACAAUGCUCGUGAAUGUGAAGAGGUAGCAAAUCUUUUUAGCAGGUAUUGUUGUUUUACAAUUAAACUACUGUAGUAGUUUAAGUGUACAUUAUUAUGUUUUACAUGUUAAUAAUGUUGAAAAGUCAUGCAUGUGGCAAUUUUUCAAAGAGCUACCAAACAUUUGAAGAAAAAAUGGAAAGUUGGCAAAUUUGUCAAAUUUGCCAAAUGAUCACCAUUGACAUUUUUGCAUGGGUUAGGUGGAAUAGUGCUUGGGUUAGGUGAAAUAGUACUUGGGUUAGGUGGAAUAGUACUAGCUUCAAGUCUAUAAAUAGAGAGCACUUCUUCCUUUCUAAAUCAUCCCAAAAUUGUUAAGCUUAUAAGUUUCUAAGCUUUUGAGAGAAGUGAGAGAAGUGUGUCUGGGGAAUUUAUCUUUCCUGCAGAGUGUGAAAGUACUGGGUAUAUUUGGGUUUCUAGGAAGUGAGAUUCGUUACUCAAAUAUUGUAUUCUAUUAAUUGUUAAAUAAACAAUUAUUCUUUCUUGCCUCCGUGGAUGUAGGUUUAAUUACCGAACCACGUAAAUUCUUGUGUCUUAUAUUUUUCAGUAAUUAUUUGGUGCGCUUCUGCUGUACCGUACAUCCGCCUUGGCCGUACAGCAGGAUCCAUUCAAGCAUAUUAAUUGUAAAAAAUCAAGUGACGUACGUAGAUGAAUGAUAAAUAAUAGUGAAAAUAGAACAAAAACUACACAUAAUUCAUUUAUGUAUACAUUCCUAAUUAAUGUAAUAAAAGGUAUUCAGGUCUCUGAAAUUAUUCAAUUGAAUUUGAGAGAUAUAUAAAACGGUGCAACACACGUAUAUUAUAAUACAUUCACUAACUUUAGGGAUCCUAAUUAUUGUACUAAUAUUCAGCUGUAAUUAUCACAUUAUAUUAGUCAUUGAUGUUUACUAAUUCUUUCUUGAAUAAUAAUCUCAUCAUUUCAUGAUAAACAUUAAUAAUUAAGUUAAUGUUGCAGUUACCGAUGAGUUAUCACAUUAGUUAUGAUUGAAACAUUAAGAUAAUAAUUGGGAUUUCUAACAUUAUUCUAGUACAUUAAUAUUGACAAUUUAAAAAAUAAAAGGGGUUAAUAGUGUAUGGGUAAAAUAUGAUUAUAAUAAAUCUAAUUUUGGGGUCUAAAUGACAAAAAGGAAAACAAAAAAAAAGUAGAGAAAUUGAAAGAAAUAAAUGCUAUUUCCCAAAUGUUUGAAAGAAGUUAAAGCAAGAUCAGUUUCGAGUCUCAGUCCGAAACUGUUCACCUCACCUUGUUUGGCUGUUCAACUCUUUCACUCUCUUUGGACUAUCUCAUCAAACACUUUCUUUUCUCUCUUAUGCUAUCCAUUUUUUUCAUUUGAUAUUUGGUGUUUUGGAGAUUGUAUUACAUAUGAAGUUGGUGAAAUUAUUAUUUUUUCAAUUUUCAGGAACACACGGCCUCGAUUUCAGUUUGUUGUGAUGAAUCGACGUAAUAUAGGUUGGUUUAUCGUUGCUUUUAUUUCAGUUUUGAUUAUUUGUACGUGAACUAGUUUUAAUUUCAGUGAUGAAUCAUUUUAUCACAGUACUAGCUAAUAAUUGAGGUUUUAGAACGAAGAAUAUAAUGUACCUAACCGAAAAUAUUUAUAUGCCAAUAUUACAGAGGCUAAAGUAUUUGCAAUGUUGUUGUCUAGCGUUAAAUAUUGGUCGUUUUAUGACCAUCAGGAGAGGGGGUUGGUACAAUUAUUUAGAUACCGUGUGUCUAUCUUGUUUACAACUUGUGUUAUAUUUCAUGUCUUGUUGUGCUUAUCAGUUGUUGCUAAGUUUUAGUUAUAUCUCCUAACCUUCAUGUCUUUUUGCAUAUGUUCUUGCAUUGAUAAGCUUCAAUAUCUUGGAUAUGUGCAGAUAAUUUAGUGGAAAAUCUUUUGGGAGAUUUUGAGUUUGAAGUUCAGGUUCCGUAUUUGUUAUAUUGGAAUGCAUCCCAAGAAGUAAAUGGGAUUUGGUUCUACAAUGCUCGUGAAUGUGAAGAGGUAGCAAAUCUUUUUAGCAGGUAUUGUUGUUUUACAAUUAAACUACUGUAGUAGUUUAAGUGUACAUUAUUAUGUUUUACAUGUUAAUAAUGUUGAAAAGUCAUGCAUGUGGCAAUUUUUCAAAGAGCUACCAAACAUUUGAAGAAAAAAUGGAAAGUUGGCAAAUUUGUCAAAUUUGCCAAAUGAUCACCAUUGACAUUUUUGCAUGGGUUAGGUGGAAUAGUGCUUGGGUUAGGUGAAAUAGUACUUGGGUUAGGUGGAAUAGUACUAGCUUCAAGUCUAUAAAUAGAGAGCACUUCUUCCUUUCUAAAUCAUCCCAAAAUUGUUAAGCUUAUAAGUUUCUAAGCUUUUGAGAGAAGUGAGAGAAGUGUGUCUGGGGAAUUUAUCUUUCCUGCAGAGUGUGAAAGUACUGGGUAUAUUUGGGUUUCUAGGAAGUGAGAUUCGUUACUCAAAUAUUGUAUUCUAUUAAUUGUUAAAUAAACAAUUAUUCUUUCUUGCCUCCGUGGAUGUAGGUUUAAUUACCGAACCACGUAAAUUCUUGUGUCUUAUAUUUUUCAGUAUACGGUACUGUUCACAUACGGUACUGUUCACGAAUACGGUGGAGACGGCCAUUUGUACUUGGGAGACAGUCUAUUGUAAGUAGUGUGUAUUUUUGCAUGUCUAGGAAAGUUCUGUCAAAAAAGGCGAUAAGAGUCUAAGGAUUUUGAUUUUUAAUUGGGACCGAGUUCCUGUCCAGUUUCCUGGAAACUUUCUUAGUGCAUUUAUUCACGCGAAAUUAACAUCAUAGAGGCUGUUUUUCAAGUGGAAAUAGUUCGUUGAGAAAAAUGGUAGAAGGUGAAACUUCCAGAAUUGGGGAGAGAUCUACCGAGACUAUUUCAGGAGACAAUUCAUGUGGGAGGCGAGAUUUGUCAAAUCGCUAUUCAGCACCUGUUAUAGGAGGCCAGAAGAUCGAUGUUGAAAAGUUUGAUGGGAAAAUCAACUUUGGCAUGUGGAGGCGCGAAGUUAUGGAUGCCCUUAUUCAAAUCGAUCUUGAUGUUGUUCUGAAAAAUAAAAGACACUUGUAUGAUGAAGAAAUUUGGGAUCGUAUGAACGAGAAAGCCUGUGGUCAGAUCAGAUCUUGUUUGACUAAGGAGUUGAAAUACUUGGUGAAAGAUGAGGAGUGUGCAGUGACUUUGUGGCGUACAUUGGAAGAGAAGUACCUAGUGAAAAGUCCUGAAAAUCGUCUUCAUGCAAUGAGCCAAGUAUAUGGCUUUCGAAUGAAGUCUAGGGUGUCAAUGCACGAUCAUGUUUCAAGAUUUGAAAAGUUACUUGCUGAUUUGAAGAAUCUUGAUGAAGAUAUUAAAGAUGAAGUCAAGGCUAUGAUUCUGUUACACUUACUACCAGAGGAAUAUAGCCAUUUUGUGACUACUUUGAUAUAUGGGAAAAGUGUGAUCGUCUUUAAAGAUGUUUGCACAGCAUUGACUAGCUUGGAGAUUCGGAAUAAUGAUAAAAAUUCUGAACGAGCAUCGUCUGAAGCUUUGGUGAGCAGAGAUUGGGCGAUGGAGAAACAUAAAAAGCGUGGUGGAAAGAAUUCUCGAUCCAAAUCGAGAAGCAGAAAUAGCUCGAGAUGAGUGUGCCUUUUGUCAUGAAAAAGGCCAUUGGAAGAAAGAUUGUCCAAAGGCUCAAAAGAGAGAUGAGAAGAAACCAGCANNNNNNNNNNNNNNNNNNNNNNNNNNNNNNNNNNNNNNNNNNNNNNNNNNNNNNNNNNNNNNNNNNNNNNNNNNNNNNNNNNNNNNNNNNNNNNNNNNNNNNNNNNNNNNNNNNNNNNNNNNNNNNNNNNNNNNNNNNNNNNNNNNNNNNNNNNNNNNNNNNNNNNNNNNNNNNNNNNNNNNNNNNNNNNNNNNNNNNNNNNNNNNNNNNNNNNNNNNNNNNNNNNNNNNNNNNNNNNNNNNNNNNNNNNNNNNNNNNNNNNNNNNNNNNNNNNNNNNNNNNNNNNNNNNNNNNNNNNNNNNNNNNNNNNNNNNNNNNNNNNNNNNNNNNNNNNNNNNNNNNNNNNNNNNNNNNNNNNNNNNNNNNNNNNNNNNNNNNNNNNNNNNNNNNNNNNNNNNNNNNNNNNNNNNNNNNNNNNNNNNNNNNNNNNNNNNNNNNNNNNNNNNNNNNNNNNNNNNNNNNNNNNNNNNNNNNNNNNNNNNNNNNNNNNNNNNNNNNNNNNNNNNNNNNNNNNNNNNNNNNNNNNNNNNNNNNNNNNNNNNNNNNNNNNNNNNNNNNNNNNNNNNNNNNNNNNNNNNNNNNNNNNNNNNNNNNNNNNNNNNNNNNNNNNNNNNNNNNNNNNNNNNNNNNNNNNNNNNNNNNNNNNNNNNNNNNNNNNNNNNNNNNNNNNNNNNNNNNNNNNNNNNNNNNNNNNNNNNNNNNNNNNNNNNNNNNNNNNNNNNNNNNNNNNNNNNNNNNNNNNNNNNNNNNNNNNNNNNNNNNNNNNNNNNNNNNNNNNNNNNNNNNNNNNNNNNNNNNNNNNNNNNNNNNNNNNNNNNNNNNNNNNNNNNNNNNNNNNNNNNNNNNNNNNNNNNNNNNNNNNNNNNNNNNNNNNNNNNNNNNNNNNNNNNNNNNNNNNNNNNNNNNNNNNNNNNNNNNNNNNNNNNNNNNNNNNNNNNNNNNNNNNNNNNNNNNNNNNNNNNNNNNNNNNNNNNNNNNNNNNNNNNNNNNNNNNNNNNNNNNNNNNNNNNNNNNNNNNNNNNNNNNNNNNNNNNNNNNNNNNNNNNNNNNNNNNNNNNNNNNNNNNNNNNNNNNNNNNNNNNNNNNNNNNNNNNNNNNNNNNNNNNNNNNNNNNNNNNNNNNNNNNNNNNNNNNNNNNNNNNNNNNNNNNNNNNNNNNNNNNNNNNNNNNNNNNNNNNNNNNNNNNNNNNNNNNNNNNNNNNNNNNNNNNNNNNNNNNNNNNNNNNNNNNNNNNNNNNNNNNNNNNNNNNNNNNNNNNNNNNNNNNNNNNNNNNNNNNNNNNNNNNNNNNNNNNNNNNNNNNNNNNNNNNNNNNNNNNNNNNNNNNNNNNNNNNNNNNNNNNNNNNNNNNNNNNNNNNNNNNNNNNNNNNNNNNNNNNNNNNNNNNNNNNNNNNNNNNNNNNNNNNNNNNNNNNNNNNNNNNNNNNNNNNNNNNNNNNNNNNNNNNNNNNNNNNNNNNNNNNNNNNNNNNNNNNNNNNGUUUCUGGGAAGUGAGAUUCGUUACUCAAAUAUUGUAUUCUAUUAAUUGUUAAAUAAACAAUUAUUCUUUCUUGCCUCCAUGGAUGUAGGUUUAAUUACCGAACCACGUAAAUUCUUGUGUCCUUUAUUUUUCAGUAAGUUUUUGGUGCGCUUGAUUCCGCAUUUCGCGCGCACAACAAGUGGUAUCAGAGCCGACGGUUCGUACUUGGGGGGAUACGGUACUGUUCACGUAUACGGUACUAUUCCCGUAUACAGUACUGUUCACAUACGGUACUGUUCACGAAUACGAUGGAGACGGCCAUUUGUACUUGGGAGACAGUCUAUUGUAAGUAGUGUGUAUUUUUGCAUGUCUAGGAAAGUUCUGUCAACAAAGGCGAUAAGAGUCUAAGGAUUCUGGUUUUUAAUUGGGACCGAGUUCCCGUCCAGUUUCCUGGGAACUUUCCUGGUGCAUUAAUCACGCGAAAUUAACAUCAUAGAGGCUGUUUUUCAAGUGGAAAUAGUUCGUUGAGAAAAAUGGUAGAAGGUGAAACUUCCAGAAUUGGGGAGAGAUCUACCGAGACUAUUUCAGGAGACAAUUCAUGUGGGAGGCGAGAUUUGUCAAAUCGCUAUUCAGCACCUGUUGUGGGAGGCGAGAUUUGUCAAAUCGCUAUUCAGCACCUGUUGUGGGAGGCGAGAUUUGUCAAAUCGCUAUUCAGCACCUGUUGUGGGAGGCGAGAUUUGUCAAAUCGCUAUUCAGCACCUGUUGUGGGAGGCGAGAUUUGUCAAAUCGCUAUUCAGCACCUGUUGUGGGAGGCGAGAUUUGUCAAAUCGCUAUUCAGCACCUGUUAUAGGAGGCCAGAAGAUCGAUGUUGAAAAGUUUGAUGGGAAAAUCAACUUCGGCAUGUGGAGGCGCGAAGUUAUGGAUGCCCUUAUUCAAAUCGAUCUUGAUGUUGUUCUGAAAAAUAAAAGACACUUGUAUGAUGAAGAAAUUUGGGAUCGUAUGAACGAGAAAGCCUGUGGUCAGAUCAGAUCUUGUUUGACUAAGGAGUUGAAAUACUUGGUGAAAGAUGAGGAGUGUGCAGUGACUUUGUGGCGUACAUUGGAAGAGAAGUACCUAGUGAAAAGUCCUGAAAAUCGUCUUCAUGCAAUGAGCCAAGUAUAUGGCUUUCGAAUGAAGUCUAGGGUGUCAAUGCACGAUCAUGUUUCAAGAUUUGAAAAGUUACUUGCUGAUUUGAAGAAUCUUGAUGAAGAUAUUAAAGAUGAAGUCAAGGCUAUGAUUCUGUUACACUUACUACCAGAGGAAUAUAGCCAUUUUGUGACUACUUUGAUAUAUGGGAAAAGUGUGAUCGUCUUUAAAGAUGUUUGCACAGCAUUGACUAGCUUGGAGAUUCGGAAUAAUGAUAAAAAUUCUGAACGAGCAUCGUCUGAAGCUUUGGUGAGCAGAGAUUGGGCGAUGGAGAAACAUAAAAAGCGUGGUGGAAAGAAUUCUCGAUCCAAAUCGAGAAGCAGAAAUAGCUCGAGAUGAGUGUGCCUUUUGUCAUGAAAAGAGCCAUUGGAGAAAAGAUUGUCCAAAGGCUCAAAAGAGAGAUGAGAAGAAACCAGCAGCAGCAAACAUGGCACGGAAAGAUGAGGGCUCUGAUUAUUCACUAAGUAUUACUCCUGCAGCAUAUGUGGCUAGUUCGAGUGAGUGGAUACUUGAUACUGGAGCAACCUAUCAUUUGUGUCCUAUUAAGGAAUGGUUUACGAAUUUUUGUAAUCUGGAAUCCGAUGCAGUGGUGAUGGGGAAUAAUCAACCUUGUCGCACAAUGGGGAUAGGAACAAUUCGGCUAAAAAUGUUUGAUGGAAUAGUUAGAGAACUCAAAGAGGUUAGAUUUGUUCCAGAGAUAAAGAAAAAUCUAAUUUCUGUGGGUGCUUUGGAAGCUAAAGGUUACAAAGUUACCAUUGAAGAUGGCACAAUGAAGUUUACACAUGGGGCUAUGGUGAUUCUGCAAGGGGUUCGGCGUCACAAUCUGUACUAUUUGAAGGGAGGUACAACUGAUGAAGCAAAUGUUGUUGAGGCGCACAGUGACACCACCAAGCUAUGGCAUGUACGACUGGGACAUGCAGGAGAGAAGUCUUUGCAAACUCUGAUGAGGCAUGGACUCUUAAAAGGUACCAAAACCUGUAAAUUAAAUUUCUGUGAGCAUUGUGUAGUAGGCAAGAAAACAAGGGUCAAGUUUGGUACAGCUAAUCACGACACUCGUAAGAUCCUUGAAUAUGUUCAUAGUGAUGUAUGGGGACCAACCAAAACUGCAUCAAUUGGUGGAAGCCAUUAUUUUGUUAUAUUUGUUGAUGAUUUCUCUAGACGUGUAUGGAUGUACACCAUGCGAGCAAAGGAUGAGGUUCUAGAGAUUUUCGUAAAGUGGAAGAAAUUGGUGGAGACUCAAACUGGCAGAAAGAUCAAAGUAUUACGAUCUGAUAAUGGGGGUGAAUAUACUUCUGAUCCAUUCUUGCAAGUAUGCUAGAACGAGGGUAUUAAAAGACAUUUCACGGUGAGACAUACUCCGCAACAGAACGGUGUGGCUGAGCGUAUGAAUCGUACUUUACUGGAGAAGGUACGAUGUAUGUUAUCUAAUGUUGGUUUAGAUAAAAAGUUUUGGGCUGAAAAUGUGAGCUACGCAAGUCACUUGGUAAAUCGGUUGCCUUCUGCUGCAAUUGGAGAUAAAACUCCUAUGGAACUGUGGUCUGAAAACCAUGCACAAGACUAUGAUUCCCUUCGUGUAUUCGGGUGUCCAGCUUAUUAUCAUGUCAAAUAUGGUAAACUGGAUCCUCGUGCUAGAAAAUUCAUUUUUGUGGGAUUCAAAGGUGGAGUAAAGGGCUUCAAGCUUUAGGAUCUUGAAGACAAAAAGUUUAUGUGUAGCAGAGAUGUCACAUUUGAUGAAGCUUCAAUGAUAAAAACUUCAAGUUCUCAGCAGGUGGAGAACAAGACCACAGAGGUAUUGCAGCGGGUGGAGUUUGAUGCAACUCCAUAUGUACCGGUUAGUUCUACAUCAAAUAAUAGUUCAACUAUGGAGGUGACACCUAGAGUUGAAGAAGAGGUUGUUUCUUCUGAUGUCCCACAAAAUGAAGAAACAAUUGAUGAUGUAAAUGAUGAUGAUUUUAUAGCAACAAGGAGGCCAAGAAGAGAGAUAAAGAAACCCGGAUGGCUUACUAAAGAUAUGGUGGUAGCCUAUGCACUUCCAGUUAUUGAUGAUGACAUCCUCAAUACUUUCGGUGAAGCAUUACGCAGCAGUGAAAGUGAUCAAUGGAAGCUAGCCAUGGAGGAAGAGAUGAAAUCUCUCCAUCAAAACCAGACUUGGGAACUUGUAAAGUUACCAAAGGGGAAAAUGGCUAUUGGCAAUAAAUGGGUCUACACCAAAAAGCAAGGAUCUCCGAAUCAAAUAACUCCUCGAUACAAGGCAAGGCUCGUGGCAAAAGAUUUUGCUCAAAAAGAAGGUAUUGACUACAAUGAAGUUUUCUCUCUAGUUGAAAAACAUACUUCCAUUCGUAUCCUACUUGCCUUAGUUAUAGAGUAUGAGUUAGAGUUGACUCAGUUAGAUGUUAAGACGGCAUUCUUACAUGGAGAUUUGGAGGAGGAAAUCUAUAUGAUUCAGUCUUGUGGUUUCAGAGUUGCUGGAAAGGAAAAUCGUGUGUGCAGAUUGAGUAAAUCUUUAUACGGAUUGAAACUAAUUCUUCGAAUGCGUUGAGUUUGGAGAAUUUUGAACUACGGUUGGCUUGAUCCCAAAUUUUGGGUACGUAGGCAGUCGAAACGACAUAGCCAUUCUGGAUCCUUAUUGAAGGAUCACUUUGGGGAUGAGGGUUCGUUGGUAGUCGACUCAGAUUUAGACAAAUUUUCGCCGAUGUGGAAAAUUGUUGAAAAGUCAUGCAUGUGGCAAUUUUUCAAAGAGCUACCAAACAUUUGAAGAAAAAAUGGAAAGUUGGCAAAUUUGUCAAAUUUGCCAAAUGGUCACCAUUGACAUAUUUGCAUGGGUUAGGUGGAAUAGUGCUUGGGUUAGGUGAAAUAGUACUUGGGUUAGGUGGAAUAGUACUAGCUUCAAGUCUAUAAAUAGAGAGCACUUCUUCCUUUCUAAAUCAUCCCAAAAUUGUUAAGCUUAUAAGUUUCUAAGCUUUUGAGAGAAGUGAGAGAAGUGUGUCUGGGGAAUUUAUCUUUCCUGCAGAGUGUGAAAGUACUGGGUAUAUUUGGGUUUCUGGGAAGUGAGAUUCGUUAAUCAAAUAUUGUAUUCUAUUAAUUGUUAAAUAAACAAUUAUUCUUUCUUGCCUCCGUGGAUGUAGGUUUAAUUACCGAACCACGUAAAUUCUUGUGUCUUGUAUUUUUCAGUAAUUAUUUGGUGCGCUUGAUUCCGCAUUCCGCGCACAACAAAUAAUUGACAGAUAGAGAAUAGUUUAGAAUCUUAACCAAACUUGGAAAUGUGUUUCAAAUAAUAGAGUAUGGCUAUUGCAUGUUGCUUCUGCCGAGGCCUGAUGAACAUGGUUUUAGUUAUUGUUUUCGUGAAUUGUAUAUUGGAAUUAUUAUUCUUGGGAUCUGGCUUGUACAGAUUCCUUUUUUGCAUUGUCUGGCAUCUUUGAAGUUUGGUUAAUAAAACUUGUUUGAUGCUAUUAUAUUCUCCUCAUUGCAUGCUUUUUAUUUCGAGAUGUGGAAUGCCAAGUGCAAAGGAGUUAUUUUUGUAUAGAAACAGACUAUUUUAUACCAGAAUCGUUCUGUGCCCCUUAAGAUUGGAAAAUGAACGGGUUGCCUUUCCUUUACAUUUAGGAGAUAGGAGAACAAAACAACCUGGGGAGUUGGUGACGAAGCCUUCAAUUUUUUUUCAUCAUGCAAGGGUGGACCAAAGAUUCUAUAGAUGAUAUCUGGAGUCCUCAGUGUUCUCAUAUUAGCAGGGAGUCCUCAGUGUUCUCAUAUUAGGUUUUUAUGGUUUCAUUGUUCUUCAGAUUCGUCUGAAAAUGUGCAUCUCACAAAGACAUGAUUGUUUUAUUUGUUGACUUGCAUGUGGUAAAAGUCAAUUUUCUUGCCGUAAAAAAUGGAACGCAAGAAGAUUCUUUGAGGUUCUAUAUUUGUAAAUUUUUCAAUUUGGUAUGGACUAUAGGUUGUACAGUCAAUGAGAAUUUAAAUUGGUUUUUUAGGAGUGGGGGCUGAGGUGGUGUGGGAAGAAAUCUUUAUAUUGUAUUAGUCUAUGGGAGCAACAAGUUCAGAAGUAUGGUUAGAAUGUGGAAUUUACUUAUAGCAGCAAGAAUAUGCUCACAGCUGUCAAAACUAAAUAACAACCUCUCUCUAUAACAAAAAAUUAUUCUCUAAAUAGCUAAGGCCGUUAAAAACCGAGUCCUCUGCUCAUAUAUGCUCAAUGUGUGUAAUCCUUGAACCAUUUGGGAGGCUUCCUUACGCUACUUGGCUUGAUGUUAGCUUGGGGUCGGUUUUGGAUAGCCUCACUUGAGUUUGCCUGGGCCUUUUCCUCGCUAUUGAUAGAGCUAGCUGAGUUGGGCUUGUCUAACUGUAAUAUUGAGGUUGUAACAGAAUGGCGCCCAUGUGAUAAAUAAGGAGUUUUAAGAAGCAUGCCAUUUGCACUAAUUAAUACUGUCAGACAUGUGAUUCCAUGAACAUGAUGAUGAUCAUCAGUUACAUUUAGUUAGUGAUGGUGGUUUUCACGUGUUUUAACAAACAUGGUAGUAGCAAUUUAUGAAUAUUCAUUACAAAGUGGCUUGUGUUUGGAAAGCAAACAAUAUGACUAUUUUGAGUGGCUUGCGUGUCUACAUAAGUUUUUGCUCUGGCUGCUAAGUUAUUGAAGUUUGACCACACAAUUCUUAUCCGUUUUGUCAUUUUUGUUUGGAGGGAUUUGAUGAUUUUCAGUGGGACAGUAAGGUAUAGAGAGUAGUUAUCCAAGAUAUUUACGUCCUGUAGAUGAUUGUAAAUUAGUCUUUCAAUACAUUCACAUCGCCUUUGAUUUGUUCUUGUUGCAUGCAAAAGCUGUUUGAAAGGCUUUUAAUUGAGUGUCUUUAUAAUUUUUUUGACCACUAUCUAUCUGUUUCAAAUUUGAUACAAAGUUGGCUUCUCACUAUUGAUGUUUCUUGUGUUAGUAAAGUGAUUGCAUUUGCACUUUCCUAGUUGCACCAACAUUUUGCGAUUUGGGAAUUUAAAUGAUGAAUUCUUAAUAAUUCACUUAGUGUUAAGCUUUUCAAUUGUUUUACGGCUAGAAAAUAUUGAGAUUGAGAAGAAAAAUAUCUCCUGAUAUGGCUGUUGUACAUUUUUUUUUUUUUAAACUUUCAUUCUUUUUUUAACUAUUUUAUAAUUUGCUAAAGAGUUGUUUGAGAAUCUCUACAGAACUGGAUGGUUGACCAUGCUAUUCACCCAGUCAUUGAUUGAAGGUGCAGUAGAUACUUAAUCUUAAUUAAUGUUGAAUUUACUUGUGAAUGUUCUUUUGCAAGACUUAAUUCUGUUUUUACCAGGAUAUUGAAGGCUAAAAUAGGAGUAUAUGGGGGGUUGUCCCAACGCAGCAUGUUAAACCCCAACAUCCUUCUACCUGAUUCUUGGACAAAGUGUAAAGAAAAUUUCAGAGCUGUUAAUGGCAAAUUGUUCACCACCACUUUGAUUACCAAAAAACCCAUUGGUAUCCAACUUUUCCCAAAUUGUGUCAUUUGGACCAAGGUUAUCGAUUCAACCCUUCCUAAUAAGGAUAUCUUGUUAGGAUUUGACAUACUUCACCAAAUCAAACACCUCUAAAUCAUUCCCACUGGAAUCCGAGUCAAGUCCAUAUUCAAACCAUUCACAGACAUUCUGAAACUCUACAAUUUGUCUGAAACUCCCCAGUCCUUCCAGGAUAUUUCAACCAAGCUUUGGAGUUUCUAUCCAUGGGAAGAAUUCCUUCCUCUCAGUCAACAUCUCCAACAGUUUCCACAACCAACCAUGUAUGAAUCAGGAUCAUCAUCCCAACCCUCAAAAGUUGACAAAGCCACUCAGAUACCAAGCCCUAGGUCCCAGUCAUCAUCUCCUAAGCCAGGUUACAGACGAGAUUGCCCUUAUCUACCUUGCCGUGGCCCCCACUGUAAGCAUCCAAAGUUCUCCAAAACCUUUUUCCCAAAAUACAACCGUGACACUGACCCAGAUGAAAUAGACAACUCAUCCGAAGACGACUACAUGAAUCUCCGCUCUCCAUAAAGUAGUUUGUCUUGUUGUAAUAAUUAUGUUUUACUUUAUGGUUUUGUCUUGUAUAAUUAUUAAAGCUUGCUUUUACUUUAAGCACACUUUGUCCUUUGUAAUAAUUAAAGCUGUCCUAAUGUGUCUUUUACCUUUGCUUUUGUAAAAGAUAGGGGUCCUAUCCUAUCUUCCCCGAAGAAUUCUCCUAUAUAAAGAAUUCUCCUCUCCCUUGUAAGAUAUAGAAGUUUUUCAAGAAAUAAACUCUCGUGUGUUUUCAUAAGCUGUGACUUUCUAAACUCUCUCUUCUCUCUCUGCAAAUGAAGUUCUAGAGAAAGAAAAGGAAUAAAGAAUUAAAUUUGUUCAUUUUGAAAACUUAAGGAAGUAUGCUCUGCACUUGCCUUCCAGUAAGGAUCCUGUGCAUCAGAAAACUUAUGAUGAUUUCUUAAAAGGUUUGGUACCCUGUUUUAAAGACUAAAGAAAGUCUAGUUUUGACUAAAAAAAAGUCUUCGAGCAUGUGAUGUAGUUCAAAAGGCACUGAUAUAGUGUUUGUGGACAGCAUCACAUUCUUAGUUAUGGUAGUGCUUGAACCAUAAAUAUGCCCAAGUUACUCUUUCCUUGCACUUGAAAGAGUGUUUUGUUUUGGGGAUUUGUGUUUGGUUGCUCGUAGUCCUGUUUGAAUAUCCAAGUAAAUAGACAAUAGAUACCAUGCAAGCUCGCCUUACUCGUAGGCACAGUGCAUGCUGAACAAGAGGCAAUUUCUAUGGAUCCUAAAGAGGUAAUAAAUUCAGAAGUACACACACUAACAAACACCACCUCCAAAUUGCAAAAUAUUUUAACCCUUCACCUUCUCACUUCCUAUAGAAUAACACCAUACCAGGCCCUUUCCCUUCUUUUUCCUCUGCACUUAACGGGAGAAUAACUUUCUCUACUCUAGCGAAAUCUCGAAGAGCAGCACAAUGAUGAGCAAUUUCGAAUAAGAGGAGUUAGAGAAGAGAGAGAAAAAAUUCUUUGCAUUGCACUCGAGGAUUCAGCUUUGAUUUCUGUUUAUUUUCGUGUUUAGCUAAGGUGAAAUCACCUUCCAUAAGGGUCCACUCAUCAUUUUCCCUAACCUCUUAUAUCAUCUAAUUAUUACUUAAAUUGGUCAUCAAGUUCCUUUUAUGUUAAACUGCAGUGAGUUUGAGGAACUGGAAGCUGUUACUCCUGCUCUUACUUCAGUGCUUCAACCAGUGCUUCCCCAGUGCUUCAACCUUUUCCACCGCCAACCCCUCCACCAUCUCUUACUGCUGCUCUUACUUCAAACAGCAGACCAUUUAUCAGCAAGGAGAAAGUUCGAGAGACACUUCUGGUGCUUGUUCAGGUUAGGAUUUCUGGUUAUGCAAAUGCUCGAAGCUAUAAUUGCGUCUGACAUGUUCAUGUUUACUGUUGUUAAGAUUAGGGGAACUUUAUCAUGCAGCUGGUAUAAUCUUCUUAAUUGCAUAUUGACAGCAGACUUAAAGCUAGCAUAUUUGUAUUGUCAGAAAUACUCUUUGGAUUUCUUAUGUACAAAAAUGCAUUCAUGGCACGCAUUUAAUCAACUAUUUUAAGUGACUGAAUUACUGUUUACUUUUUGAUGAUAUCUAAAUUGACAUGUAAAUAAAUUUAUGUUCAUCAGUGGAUUGAACUAUUUUUCACUUAUCCCAGUCUUCAAAAUCAUUAACCCCGCACCACUUUGCCAUGCUUAGAGUGCAAACACUAAUGCGAAACACUUAUUUUUUGUGAUGCAUUUUCAAUUAUUAUUUUUUUCCUUGUAUAUCUGACCAGUUUUUAUAUGUAAUAGGACAAUCAAUUCUUAGACAUGGUCUAUCGAGCAUUGCUGAAUGACCAGCUGAAAGUGAUACCAAUAUGUAGCUGCUAGAUUUUUUCUACCAUGUAGCUUUCUGCAAGUGUAAUAAAACCCAGUUUGUAUAGUGUUUCAACUCAAGUCAGUAUUUUUUAUGGAAAAAUUAUUGGUAUAUAAUUAUUCUUGUUUCUUUUUGUUAGAGAUGAUGAAAAACACUUGCAGGAUUUAAAUGUCAUUUUUGGGUUUGAGCUUAUUAUAAGUUACAGGCUUCGAAAGUGUGUUCAUUUAUAUCCACAAUUUAGUUAUGCUGGUUAACCAAAGUGAGCUGGGAUAGUUUUUGGAUUCAUGACAUGAAUAAAAUAGGAUUAUUUUGGGCACGGCUUGGUGCGUUAGGUGUGUUUAUUGUGAGGAAGAGGGCAAAAAGGAAAAAACAAUUGUGGGUUGUGAAAUUUCUUAAAUGAACCUUCUCUGAUUGUUCUUGUAUAGAGCUGGGUUACCAUCAGAAAUGAAGGAGGAAAUGAAUCGAUUACUGUAACUCCCAAGGCGAUAAUUGCUACCUAAAUCCCCACUAGGAUAUAACAAGAGUUGCAAAUCUGAUAGUUAUUCCAAGUCCUAGUUAUCCUCCAUAAGUUGAGCUACCCAUUACUCUCACCCUGGACUAUAAUGUUUUUUAUUUUAAGUUUGUCCCAGUUUACUUAAAGUGAAGUCUCGUCGCCUGCAUUUUACUUUCAUCUGGACCUGAAAUCUCAACCGUCAAGUUUAAUAGAGAAUUUACACACACUCCAGAGCCCAGAGGGCGUAAGUUAAUCUUCAUUCAGAUCGUGUAAAAGAGAGACCUUUUGCCUGUUAUGAUGUGUAGAAGUAGAGCCCCAAAUCUGUUAGCUUUGGCCGCCAUCUAAAGAAAUUCCUACUGCGAAUGGUUAAAAAUUUCAUUUACUGUAUGUAUACAACCUAAUAGUAGCAAUGAAAUUACUAAGUUGUUCUUGGACAAUUUGCAUCAAAUACUUUUAUUGAGUUGCUAUUCCAUGCAUGCAAAAGAAAAUUCUUUAAAAAUUACAUAUAAGUUGUAAUGUAAGGAAAUUACAUCCAUCCACGAUAAAAUCUUCUAGGAACAAGAUUGUCUGCUACAAAAUAAUAACAAGAGGUCAUACACACUUCAACAAGGUAAAACCAUCUUCGCCGCCAGUAAGGGUUUAUGUACAAAACUCCAAUAAUUCCUAUUAUCACAAUUCCAUAAGAUACUGUAAAAGUGAUCAAGAAACUGUCCGUGUCAAUUAAACUAUCACCUUGAUUUUCGGUGGAAGCUUCUGGUGUCACUGUUGUCAAUCCAUUAUGAUUGCAACUUUUGGACAGUGGCUUUCCACAAAGAAAAGGAUUCCCCUCAUAGCUAUCUUCCUCGAAAGUUGAAAAUUGUGCUCUAUCUGGAAUUUUGCCUGAUAAGUUAUUGUAUGCUACUUUGAAAACCUCCAAUGUAUUUAGCACAAUGAGUUGAGGAGGGAUUUUCCCAUGCAGUAGGUUGUAGGAGAGGUCCAAGCUUUCAAUUUGCUUCAGGUUUGAAAAUGUUGUCGGGAUUGUGCCCGUCAAAUUGUUAUGAGAUAGAUUUAGCGCAUGAAUCCCAGAAAGAUAUCCAAUUUGAGUAGGAAUCUCACCUGUCAGUUUGUUACAAGAAAGAUCAAUCCCAGACAUACUCGUCAAAAUUCUUCCUUGAUAAUAGUAGGACAUAUUCUUUGUUGUGAACUGUACAGUUUCUUCCUUUCCCAUCGGAGGUGCACUUCGACUAGGCAGACAUGCAGAUAUAUAGACAGACGCUCGACCACACCAAAUAGAAGUUGGAGCUACUGCCUCAUGAUGACCUCCACUGAGUGCAGUGUUAACCAAGCAAGAAGGAAUAUGACCAGAUAGAUUAUUAUGAGAAAGAUCAAUCAACCGCACUUCCUUCAACUGGCAUAAUUGAACUGGUAUUUCGCCUUUAAUAUAAUUAUGAGCUAAAAGAAGGUAGUUUAACUGAGGUAGUCUGUCAAUCCGAUUUGGAAUACUUCCGUGUAAGCGGUUAUAACUAAGAUCUAAUGUCACCAAAUAAGGGCUGUCAUGGAUUAUACUUUCCAACCGUCCUUCUAUCUUGUUUUUUGACAAAUGAACUUGUUCGAUAUGUGCUGGACUAAAACAAGAUGGUAACGUUCCAAAAAUAGAAUUGUUUGAAAGGUCUAAAAUCUUCAGAGCACUAAGCUGACAAAACUCGAUUGGAAUUGGUCCUUCAAGAUUGUUAUUGGGCAUUCUAAUACCUUCUAAAGCUGACAAAUUACCCAACCAUCUUGGAAUCUCACCAGAGAGAUGAUUAUCACUCAGAUACAAUCCUCCCAACAAAUAACACUUAGAUAAGCUUUCUGGGAUCUCUCCAAUGAAUUUAUUACCAUCCAACUGCAACCUCAUCAAAUUUGUCAAGUUAAAUUUUUUAGAGAAUAUAUGACCUUGCAAACUGUUGUUUGACAAUGCAAGAAUUUUUAAUGAGAAGCAACCGGUGGCCAUGCGCUCAGGGAUUUCACCAGUCAACUGAUUGUCAGAUAUGUCCAACCUUUCCAACAUUUUCAUAUCAGCAAAUGAAGAGGGAAUGCUACCGUUGAAAGCGUUUCUAGAUAAGUUUAAAUCCAUUAAACCUGGCAGAUAUGUUCCGAUUUCUACCGGAAUAUGGCCGUGAAAGAAAUUGUUGGAGACAUCCAAAGUUGCUAAAUUCUGGUGGGAAUGAAUUGGCAUUCGAAAUGAUCCAAAAAGAGAGUUAUUGGCAAGAAGAAGCAUCACUAAGUUUGUAUUGUUUUCUAGCAACCAAUUUGGAAAUUGUCCACUCAAGUUAAGGUGUGAGAGAUCAGCAUUCUUCAAGUCAUGCUGAUGGUACAUGCUGAUGGUACAGAAAUAGGGAUUUGGAAGAAGUGAUUAUUUGAAAGUAUGAGCUUUUCAAUAGAUAUUAGAUGCAUGAUGGGAGAUGAGGAGAUGUUUUCAGUAAGUUGAUUGUAAGAGACAUCUAAUACUCGAAGGGAAGUCAAAUUUGCCAAGCACCAUGGCAAGCUACCUCUCAAAUCAUUACUGCUGAUGUAUAACUCUUGCAGAUGCACUAACCGACAAAGUCCUGAAAAAUAUAAUUGCAUAAAACUUAAAUAAUUGCAUAAAAUCUUUAAAGUACAUAUUAAAAAUUAAGUUUGAUCACUGAUAGUUGAACAGUAGAAUCUGACGUAAUGGCAACAAAACAAUUGUAAAAUUAUACGGCGUUAUAGUGUUAAGUAAAAAAUUAGCAUUAUUUUUCAAUCAACACUACAACAGCACACUAUUUUACAGUAGUUCAUUAUUAUGGCUCCCUAUCAUCUUUCACUAAGUUUAUAAAUAGCUAGCAUUUUAGGUAUUCUCAAUUAAAUUUAGUUAAGAUGCGCGAGAGGGAGAAAGAGAAUCAUUAAUUAACCUUGAUCAAGAAUGGUGUUUUUAUUAAGACUUGAAUAUGUCAGUGAUAAAAACUUCAGAGAAGGCAUCGAUUCGCCGACAAUUUGAAGAAAACUGGUGUUGACGUCAACCUGCACCUCACCCAUGUCCAGAUUUUCCAAAUUCUUGAAUUUACGAAAAUCUGCAAGCAAUAAACAAGAAAUGGUCAUAAUUUCACAUAAUGCAAGGGAAUAAGGAUAAUCCGGUCCUGUUCUUUUCUUUUUUUUGGGUUAAUUUACUUAUUUUUCUUUACUCUUCUAAGCGAUCGAAAUAUGCUUAACAUAACAGAACUAAAAUUUCAUUAACCUUAAUCAAGAAUCCUACAAUUUAGAGAAGGUAGAACUAUUGGAUAGUGAAAAUAUAUAAAAUUUAAAAGAAAAAAUAUUAUUUUACGGGAGAAAAUUAACUUGAAAAGAAAGAAUCAUUAUCGAAUUAAUAUCACAAAAGCUUCAGAUACCCGUAAUUUACCUUGACCAUGCAGGGCACCCUUGAGUACACUAUCUUGCAUUGACAAAUACUUUAACGAAGUGAAUGAUGCGAUGCUUUGCAGAAGCUGGCUUACGUGGAGAUCAGACUCGUCCAAUAUCAAUUCUUCCAAGUUGGUCAAAUUGUGCAAUUCUAUUUACAAAGAAGUGGAAGCAACAAAUUUUAGCUAUAUAUAUUAAUUCAAUUAUUUUCGACAUAAAAGAUUUACUUACCUUGAUUAAUUACUGUUCCCGUAAAAUUAGUAUACGAAAGGUAAAGUGUUUUGAGGGACGGUAGUGAUCCUAUUGAUUGCAACGCCUUACUUCCAUCUAUCAUUGCAACUUCCGUUCCCCCUAAGACAAGGGUAUUCAACUUCCUCAAGCCUCUGUAAUCUGUUUGGGAUACAAUUUCGGAUUAAAUUAUUUUGGAUAAGUGUCAUUGGGCAUUCCCUAAUCAAAUCAAUUAAAUUGUCCUCCAAAUUAUUAAUAUUUGAACAUUUUGUAUACCUUUAGGAACCACUAGAUUGUCGAUUGCAUUGGCGCUCAUGUCCAGCUCCUCCAAGUUACUCAAGGAAUUCAGUCCUGCAUUUUUGCCAACACUUAAAACAGGGUUAAUUAAAUAACUUAUUUUCUUCUUCUUUGUUUUAAAUCUCGGCGCAAAAGAAUUUUAUUAAUAAGCAAAAAAGUACACGGCUAAUCCGAAAAACCUAAAAAGUAGUUGCCAAGGGCCUGACCGAUGAUUUUAAGUAGGUAUAUUUGUCUGACAACGGCGAAUUUAAAUUUGUAAGGAAUAAAAAUUUAUUUCAACUUUACCUAUUGCUAUACCUUAUUCUUGUUUCAAAAAAUUUACUUAAUUAAUUAAGUAAAUACAAGUUGGUUUAUGGAAGCCAAUAUCUGAUCCCUUCACACUAACCAAAAUACUAAAUUCAGCGCACAAAUUUAUAUAUAGGCAGAUAAAUAAGAUGCAUGUUAUUAUGGCUUACCUUGAACAUCAAAACUUUUUUUUUUUUUUGAAUCUAAUCCACUCUCAGGAUAUAAACUCGUUAACAAAGAAAGAGCAUUAGAAAAAUCAAAAAACUACAAUGUCGAUUUCCGUUUAGUGUACAAUUCUUUACUUUUGAAGACAGGACAUACGAAAUAAUUAGAUUGAAUUGUGUCUGAUUAUGAGAAGCAUUGAAAAUUGCGUAUAUUGAUAAUUUCUUAAUCCUAUUUUUAUAAUAUUCACAGCCUCGAAGCUUAAACUAGCAAGAGUCUAGCUAGAUCUCGUAUCAAUACUUCCAGCUGGUCGAUGAAAUAAGAUCCACAAAGAUGGGACACGGGAGAAGGGAUGAAGCUUGCUUACCUUUAAUAUCAAUACUUCCAUUCAAUCGAUUAGCAGCCAAUAAUAAGUGUCUGAGUGAUGAAAGACCACCUAGAGAUGAAAAGAUGCUGUUGUUGAAGUAGUUAAAGCCUAAAUGAAGAAACUUCAAGUUGUUCAACCUUGAUAACCUAUCUAGACCUGCCAAAAAAUAAAAAAUAAAACCUAAUUUAAUUGUAUCACGUACAAAUUAAACAAAAGCCAAAAGGGAUCAGAUAAAUGCUAGAAAUUACGAGGGAGAAUUAGAGUAGAGUAAAUUGAGGACCUUCAUUUUCAACACAACCGGCUAUAUUGUUCCCAGUUAAAUCAAGAGAUUCUAAUUGUUGAAAUUGAGAAAACAGAUAAGCAUUCAUAUGCCACUCCGCUGAUUCCCAAUUCCUAAAUUGAAGAUCUAAUUUAAUCACUCUGCCAGUGGUGUUGUUGCACUCAACCCCUUCCCACUGACAACAAUCUGAAAAAUUCUCAUCAUCUCCCGCGUCUACCCAGUUUUGAAGACGUUGAUCAUCAUUGAAGAAAUGUUUUGAGUUUGAGGAGAGCAGACCUCUAGACUUUAACGAUUACUUUGCAUGAGUCCUUGAAUAUUGACCAACGAAUUUCUUUAUUGAUUGCAACGAUAAGUGUCAUUGGGCAUUCCCUAAUCAAAUCAAUUAAAUUGUCCUCCAAAUUAUUAAUAUUUGAACAUUUUGUAUACCUUUAGGAACCACUAAAUUGUCGAUUGCAUUGUCGCUCAUGUCCAGCUCCUCCAAAUUACUCAAGGAUUCCAGUCCUGUAUUUAUUCCAACACUUAAAACAGAGUUAAUUAAAUAACUUAUUUUCUCAUUUUUUUAUGUUAAAUCUCAGCGAAAAGAAUUUUAUUAAUAAGAAAAGAAUAUGGCUAAUCCGAAAAAUUUAAAGCAGCUCUCAAAGGGUUCGACUGAGUGGCUUUAAGCAAGUAUAUUUAGCUGACAACCAUGAAUUUAAAUUUGUAAGGAAUUAAAAUUUAUUUUAGCUUUACCUACUGCUAUAUCUUUUUCUUUUUUCUUAAAAAAAUUAAAAUAGAUUAAACACGAAAUUUUAAUUUGUUAAAUAUUAAAUGUCGUUAAUUAAUUAAUUAACUAAAUACAAGUUGGUCUAUGGAGGCCAAUAUCUGAUCCCUUCACAAUAACCAAAAUAUUAAAUUCAGUGCACAAAUUUAGAUACAUGCAGACAAAUAAGAUGCAGGUUAUUAUGGCCUACCUUGAACAUCAAAAUUUUUUUUUUUCAAUCCAAUCCCUCUUAGGAUAUAAACUCGUUAACGAAAAAAGAGCAUUAGAAAAAAUAAAAAGCUACGAUGUCGAUUUCCAUUUAGUGUACAAUUCUUUACUUUUGAAGACAGGACAUACAAAAUAAUUAGAUUGAAUUGUGUCUGAUUAUGAGAAGCAUUGAAAAUUGCAUAUAUUGAUAAUUUCUUAAACCUAUUUUUAUAAUAUUUAAAUCCUUGAAGCUUAAACUAGCAAGAGUUUAGCCAAAUCUUAUAUCAAUACUUCCAGCCGGUCAAUGAAAUAAGAUCCCCAAAAGAUGGGACACGGGAGAAGGGAUGAAGCUUACUUACCUUCAAUAUCAAUACUUCCAUUCAAUUCAUUAAUACCCAUUGAUAAGUGUUUGAGUGAUGAAAGACCACCUAGAGAUGAAAAGAUGCUGUUGUUGAAGUGGUUAAGGGUUAAAUCAAGAAACUUCAAGUUCUUCAAACUUGAUAACCUAUCUAGACCUGUCAAAAAAUAAAAAGUAAAAAAUAAAAAAUAAAACAUAAUUUUAUUGUAUCACGUACAAAUUAAACAAAAGCCAAAAGGGAUUAGAUAAAUGUAAGAAAAUACGAAGGAGAAUUAAAAUAGAGUAAAUUAAGGACCUUCAUUUUGAACACAACCGGCUAUAUUGUUCCCCAUUAGAUCAAGAGACUUUAAUUGUUGAAAGGGAGUAAACAGAGAGGCAUUCAUAUACCACUCUGCUGAUUCCCAUUUUCGAAAUGCUAGAUCUAAUCUAAUCACUCUGCCAGUGGUGUUGUUGCACUCAACCCCUUCCCACUGACAACAAUCUGAAUAAUUCUCAUCAUCUCCGGUGUCAACCCAGUUUUGAAGACGGUGAUCAUCAUUGAAGAAAUGUUUGAGUUGGAGGAGAGCAGACCUCUCUUGCUCCAAACACCCCUCACUCCACCACCCUUUUACUACUAAUAAUAUGAAAAUUAACUCACUCACCCACACUCUUUUUGAACCACACAUUAUAUCUUCUUAAUUACAAUCACCUACACACACUCUUUUCUCUUCUGCAACAACGAGAGGAUAGUUCUACGCUAUUUAUAACCAAUUGCACUGAUGAUACUCCCAGCUUUUAAUUGACUUUGUCUAAGUCUUGCAUGCGUUUUUCUUCAUUUCUUUUUAUUUUUUCUGUUAAUAUAUAAUAUGAUUGUAAUAUAUUUUUAUUUAAUUCAGUCAACUGAAAAUAUUUCCUCUCCGUCCAUAAAUAUCUGCACAGCCUGGAUUCUGACGGAAUCUUGGGCAACGCGGGUACCCAAACUUCACUAGACAAGCUUAUGGGCUAGCUCAAAACUUGGAUUUUUAUGAAGAAUAUUAUAAAAUAUCUAUUAUUUUGUUCAUUUGGUCCACUUAUUAUCUAUUUUUAAAAUUUUAAACAUUUAAAACUCAUAUUUUUAAUUCCAAUUUCAUUAAAAUAAAAUUUGAAAAUAUAAAAUUAUAAAAUAAAUUAAAUAUAUAUAAUAUUAUAAAAUAUAAAUUCUAGGUUUUUUAAGUUUUGAUUAAAAAAGUCCGAGUGUUCAAAAAAACAUGCUUAGGCCAGAUCUGGGUAAUACCAUACCUAAGAACGGUCGGAGUUUUUUUCCAUCCCUACCAUCCUUACACACUAAUAAUUGGCUGAAUUUAAUCAAACUCUCGAUUUGCUUUCACAUUAUCUUGGGUUUGAAACUUCACAGGUACCUAUAUAUCCCUUGAAUGAGAGUAGAUUUUCACCUAAAUUUGAAUGCAAACAUGUGCGACACGUCCUGGUCUAGGGAGAAUGAAUAGGAUGUCUUCAUAGGGCCAUAACUUGAGUAAUUGGUAUUUGUCUUAGGCUCAUAAUAUAUCAUUAUGAAGUUCUCCAAGAAAGGAGAGUGAGUCAAAGUUACAUUUUCAAUAUGGGUUGGCAGAUCGUCGCCAAAUUUCUCUUGGACGCUUCUAUUUUUGCCUGAAGAUAUCUUUCUUAUUUUUGAUAUUCUUGUUGGAUUUUUAUCUAUUUUUGUCAAUAUUUGAUUUAAGUGUCAUAUAUUUUUAAUUUGUUUUGGCAACUUAAAUUUUUAUUAUGCCAUGCCAAUUCAAAUUUACUUAUUUUGAUAAAUUGAUGUACUUUAGGAUUUAGUAUAAAAGGCUGUUAAAAUCCUAGUUUGUUAUUUAUACUCGUAAAAACAUAUUUUUAGAUUAGGAGACUUGUGAUCACUACUCAAAUACUAAAAAACCCCUAUAACUAAUUAAAUAAUAAGAAUACGGAAGUUAAAAUAAAAGGAUUUUUAAAUCUGUCCUAGAUGACACGACAAGUGACUAUUUAUGAUGUUACCCAAAAAAUUAAAAAUAAAUGCUAAUCUCACCGAACCUCUAGACUUUAACGAUCACUUUGGAUGAGUUCUUGAGUAUUGAGCAACCAAUUUCUCUUCUCCAUUUAUUUAUUUCACUAUAUUUCACACAUCACCCUGAUUACAAUUUUAUUUUAUUUUAUUCUUCCAAUUCAGUCAACAAGAAAAUAACAUGUAAUUUAACAAACCCUUUACCAAGUCUCGGUCUUAUGCUGAUCCCUGUAAUAGCGCUUGUAUUUGUUAUAUCAACAUUAUUUGUUGUCACGAAGAGGGUGAAGGGUCUUCUUUCUUUCUUGGAAGUUCAUGAAGGAAAUCAAAUUUUCUUUUCUUAAUUUCUUGCAUUUGGAACACAAAUAAUCUAAGCGUUUUCUAUGCAUACACAUGUUUUACACGUUAGUUGAUUUGAAUUGACCCCAAAUCGCGAAACAUUGGUCCUUAAUCCUCUCUCUCUCUCUCUCUCUCUCUAAUUACUAAAUAAGUGAAAUUAUCAUUGAAAAUUUUAAGCAACAAACCAGCAAUUUUACAUUAAAAAAAAAAAAAUUGAUAGUAAAGAAUGACCUGGUCAAUCUUUAUCCACUAUGGUAGUUUUCAACAGCUUUACAAAAUAAGUGGAAGCCAAUUAUUUCAAUUAAAAGUCAUGGAUGUUAAGACCGAAAAAAAAAAAUUAAAAGUCAUGGAUAACGACAAAAUUACCUAAAACAAAGGACACAUUGCAUUAAAUUUCUAAUAGUACUCAACUAUUAACCUUUUUACAACGACACAGUAAAAGACCACCGCCGAGGUUAUAUUUUCCGGCGUUUUGUUUUACGAUGGGACAAUUCGUAUUCUAGAAAAUAAUCUGAACACUCAUAAUCUAAUAAAAUUUACAAUGAUGCUACACAUUCUAAAUUUUUUAUCCCAAAAAGUUAUCCCAAAUGAUAUGGCAUUUAUCAAUUGGUUGGUGAGAUAAUAUAAUUAAUUCACUUGGAUCUUGUAAAGAAUUAUCAACCAAUUGAUAAAUGACACAUCAUUUGGAAUAACUUUUUGGGAUAAAAAAAUUGGGAUGUGUAGCAUUAUUGUAAAAUUUAUUCUACGCUGAUAAAUUAUUGGUUAUGCAAUUUACCGAUUAUAGACAAUUGACUUAAUAGAUUUAAUAUCUUUUUACGUAUGUUCUUUGGUCAAAAAAGAAAAUCUGAUUCUAUCUCCCGUAAUUUUUUUAAAAAUUUUUUUCUAACAUUUUCUCAUCCUCGAUUUCACAGGUAAAUUUCUAUGCUAACAAACUGUUAUUUUAAAAAAAAAAGUCAGACAAACAAAUAAAUAAUUAGGUUGCUGUUUAUCUUAAAGGAUAAAUAACAAGAAUUGGGACUCCAUGUCCUUGAGCAAAUUCAGCGAGUGAGGAAAAAAAAAAAUAAAGUUUUGAAUAAUUUUUGCGUAAACAAAGUUUAGUCAUAAGCAUGCAUGAAUGUAAUCACUAGGGCUACUAUGGGUGUUGCGGGGUGUUGACUUUUGAAGAAAGAGAGCUUUAACAAAAGAAACUAAUUUCUGUGCAAUUUUGGGACUUUGAUGAGUGUGCAGAGUAGAAAUUUAAUUUUCAAAUUCAACGUCGGAAUUUCUGAACUCUUUUGAGUAAAUGAUUGUGCAAGGUAUUAUUUAUACUUCAGCAUAAAUUUUAUUUUAUUUAACUUUGAAAAAUUAGGGAAAAUAAUUUGGUUACAAUCUUUAGAAUUAGAUAGAACCUCCCUCAAGUAUCGUGUCCAAAAACUUAUUCUUAUAAUAACAUUAUGUAUUUGUCCUGUUAACAUAAUUUUGUCACCGUCCAGAAAGAGACGAAAGGCACUCUCUUUCAUGGAAAUUCAUGAACGCAUGAAAGCAAAUCAAACCGUUUUAAUUGCUUGGAAGUUAGGUAUGUAAUGUCUGCUCAUGUUUUAUAAUUAUAAUUGACUUUGAAUCAAGAAAUGGCCUCUUUUCUCUUUUAUUUCAAUGACCAGUUAAAUAAAUUAUUUUUAAAAAAAAAACAACAGAGAAAAUUGAAAGCAAGAAAAAAUUAAGUAAACGACAAACUAAACUGAAAUGCCAGUAAUCAAAUGCAAAGAAGACCCCAUUCAAAAAAAAUAAAAUGCAAAGAAGACCUGCUUCGUCUUUGAUUAUAAUUUAUAAUGAUUAUCAUUCAAUGUGCUUUUCAAGAGCUAUUGAAUACAACUUUAAUUGUUCAAUUCAAAGUUAUGCAUAUUGUUGAUGCCGAAAUCCGAACGAGUUGGUUAGUGACUCAAUUUUAGAUCCCUGCAUCAGCAUUAAAUUUGUUUGGUGGGAAGCUGCUGGUUGAUCUCCAGGAAUAUUCUCUGACUAUGAGCAGAACAUUCAUGAGCAUAUAAUCUUCAAGCUGACGAUAUAUAAGUACUUAAAAUUACAGAGAAUGGUCAGAGGCGCCAGAAGUUUUUCUGGCGUAAACCCUCCGACGCCCAAGUCAGUUUAUGGGUUUACGGGAAAAACAAAAUAUGUCAGUUCCUAUUUUUAUGAAGAAAAAUAAUCUUAAGUAAAUGUAAUAAAAGAAUAAAAUAAAAAUUCAGAAAGGAAAGUCCCCCCUUGGCGUGAUUUUCUUGGGGUUUUUAUAACACCUUCUACCCACGUCCUUAGGUCGUGACAAUAACAAUUAAUUGAUCAAAUUUGUGCCCUGAUUUUUCGGAUGAGGUUUGUGGUGGUUUAUUUUGACUGAGUCUUGUUUCCUGGUCAUCACCUGAUCUAGGUGGUCUGCUCGAGAUCAUCAAAAUUACCACCUAGUCGAGGUCAUCUGCUUAAGCUCAUAGCACCUAGUCAUCAGCUCAAGCUCAUACCACCUAGUCAUUAGCUCAAGCUCAUAGCACCUGAUUGAGGUGAUCUGCUCAAACUCAUAGCAUCUAGUCGAGGUGGUCUACUCAAGCUCAUAGCACCUGGUCGAGGUGGUCUGCUCAACCAUUUGCUCACUUUUACUUGGAGGAGAUCAUGGUCACCGUAUUUAAUUUCCCAAACAGAUAUAUUGAAAAGGGGAAUAUUGCUUUCAACCAGCAAUCUAACAUAUUUUGAAUGUAGGCAAUCUAACAUACUUUGUUAAGAGAACUCCUAACAGAUUAAAUAUUGCUUUCAACAAGCAGUCUAUCAUAUUUUAAUCGAUCAAUUCAAAGUUAUGGAGAGUAGAGUAAUGUUAUGAAUUCUAACAGUUAAGUUCUAAUUGAUGUGUGGUAUUAAUAUAUUAUAUAUUGAAUUUUAUGACUAGUAAAAUUAAUAUUCUACCGCUUUAUGGAUAAUUACUACACUAAUUGGGACCAAAUUAAGAGUUGAUUGUCAGGAUCCCAAACACUACUAUGCGAAGGAAUAUAUUGGGCAUUAACAAGUCAGUUGGAGCGAGCAAAAAAUUUAACCCAUUUACAAAACAUCGGAAUUCUUUUCACAACAGAAGCAUUCUUGUCACUGGCAAUCAAACAACCAUUCCGUCCCUUUCUCCGCUCAAUAUCUUCGUAAAUUGUUCAUAAUCUUAGCCUUUGAUAGUAAGUUGUUUUUUCUUAAUUGUUCAUAACCUUAACCUUUGUUUAAACAAAUGUUUCAUAGUAAUCUCUUAUUUUGAUAACUAGUUAGGGCAGUUUAAUAAUACUGUAGCUUUUAAAAUAAUUAAUGUUAGUUGUAAUGUAAAAAUAAUUAGUUGUGAGGAAAAGUAAGUUGUUAAAUUUUAUUUAUUUUUUUUGUGCAAUACUAGAUACCCCAGCAUUUAAGUCCCAAUUUUGUUCCACAUAAUAUGGAAUUUAUCAAGUGGUUAAGUAAUUUUACAAAUUAUGAAAUCUAUCAUUCAAUAGAUAAGUGAUACAUAGCAUUAGAAUUCAAAUACUAGGAUCCCUAUCAUCAUUAUUAAUAAAUCUUAUUCUCCAAAUCAAAAUUUGAAAAACUAUUCCUUUUUUUUAUUCAAAAGAUGCAAUAGCGUGUAGUGGUUUUAUCAUAAGUGGCACUCAUAAAAAUAUAUUUUUAGAUUAGGAGACGUGUGAUCACUACUCAAAUACUAAAAAACCCUAUAACUAAUUAAAUAAUAAGAAUAUGGAAGUUAAAAUAAAAGAAUUUCUAAACCUGUCCUACAUCACACGACAAGUGACUAUACAUCAUGAUGUUAGCCAAAAAAUUAAUAAUAAGGAGCUUGUUACCUUACAUAGUAAUGUAAUAUACAUAAUUGUCUUGUAAUCAUUUGAUGAAAAUCAAACGCUGUAAAAAAAAAAGAUUCUAUUACUUUAUAUUUUUAUAGUCGUUCGAUUUUCAUUGAACGGUUACAUGACCAUUGUCUACCUUACAUUAUUACGUAAGAUAACAAUUGCCUAAAAAUAAAUGCUAAUCAUACCUAACCUCUAGACUUUAACGAUCACUUUGGAUGAGUUCUUGAAUAUUGAUCAACAAAUUUCUCUUCUAUAUUUAUUUAUUUCACUACAUUUCACACAUCACCCUGAUUACAAUUUUAUUUUAUUUUAUUCUUCCAGUUCAGUCAACAAGAGAAUAACAUGUAAUUUACCAAACCCUUUAUCAAGUCUCGAUCUUAUGCUGAUCCCUAUAGUAGCACUUGUAUUUUUCAUAUCAACGUCAUUUGUUGUCAUGAAGAAGGUGAAUGGUCUUCUUUUUUUCUUGGAAGUUCAUGAAAGGAAAUCAAUUUUUCUUUUUUUAAUUUCUUGCACUUGGAAUACAAAUAAUCUAAGCGUUUUCUUUGCAUAUUAGUCGACUUUGAAUUGACCCAAAAUCGCGAAACAUUGGCCCUUAACCCUCUCUCUCUCUCUCUCUCUUUAAUGACUAAAUAAGUGAAAUUAUCACUGAAAAUUUUAAGCAACAAACCAGCAAUUUUACAUUAAAAAAAAUCGAUAAUCAAAUGUAAAGAAUUACCUGGUUAAUCUUUAUCCACUGUGGUAGUUUUCAACAGCUUUACAAAAUAACUGUAAGCCAAGUAUUUCAAUUAAAAGUCAUGGAUAACAAAAAAAUUACCUAAAACAAAGAACACGUUGCUUUUAAUAAUAUACGAUAUAGGUGCAUUAAAUUACUAAUAGUACUCAACUACUAACCCUUUUACAAUGACACAGUAAAAGAGCACCGCAAAGAUUAUAUUUUCUGACAUUUUGUUGUGCGAUGGGACAAUUCAUACUCUAGAAAAUAAUCAGAACACUCAUAAUCUAAUAAAAUUUAUUUUACGCUGAUAAAUUAUUCGUUAUGCAAUUUACCGUUAUAGACAAUUAGACUUAAUAGAUUUAAUGUCUUUUUACGCAUGUUCUUUGCUCAAAAAAGAAAAUCUGAUUCUAUCUCCCUUAGUUUUUUUUUUCUAACAUUUUCUCCUCCUCGAUUUCACAAGUAAAUAUUUAUGCUAACAAACUGUUAUUAAAAAAAAACAGAUAAACAAAUAAAUAAUUAGGUUGCUGUUUAUCUUAGAAGAACAAAUAACAAGAAUGUCCAAAGUAUUAUUUAUACUUAAGCAUAAAUUUUAUUUUAUUUAACUUAAAAAAAUUAGGAAUAAUAAUUUGGUUACAAUCUUUAGAAUUAGAUAGAACCUCCCUCANNNNNNNNNNNNNNNNNNNNNNNNNNNNNNNNNNNNNNNNNNNNNNNNNNNNNNNNNNNNNNNNNNNNNNNNNNNNNNNNNNNNNNNNNNNNNNNNNNNNNNNNNNNNNNNNNNNNNNNNNNNNNNNNNNNNNNNNNNNNNNNNNNNNNNNNNNNNNNNNNNNNNNNNNNNNNNNNNNNNNNNNNNNNNNNNNNNNNNNNNNNNNNNNNNNNNNNNNNNNNNNNNNNNNNNNNNNNNNNNNNNNNNNNNNNNNNNNNNNNNNNNNNNNNNNNNNNNNNNNNNNNNNNNNNNNNNNNNNNNNNNNNNNNNNNNNNNNNNNNNNNNNNNNNNNNNNNNNNNNNNNNNNNNNNNNNNNNNNNNNNNNNNNNNNNNNNNNNNNNNNNNNNNNNNNNNNNNNNNNNNNNNNNNNNNNNNNNNNNNNNNNNNNNNNNNNNNNNNNNNNNNNNNNNNNNNNNNNNNNNNNNNNNNNNNNNNNNNNNNNNNNNNNNNNNNNNNNNNNNNNNNNNNNNNNNNNNNNNNNNNNNNNNNNNNNNNNNNNNNNNNNNNNNNNNNNNNNNNNNNNNNNNNNNNNNNNNNNNNNNNNNNNNNNNNNNNNNNNNNNNNNNNNNNNNNNNNNNNNNNNNNNNNNNNNNNNNNNNNNNNNNNNNNNNNNNNNNNNNNNNNNNNNNNNNNNNNNNNNNNNNNNNNNNNNNNNNNNNNNNNNNNNNNNNNNNNNNNNNNNNNNNNNNNNNNNNNNNNNNNNNNNNNNNNNNNNNNNNNNNNNNNNNNNNNNNNNNNNNNNNNNNNNNNNNNNNNNNNNNNNNNNNNNNNNNNNNNNNNNNNNNNNNNNNNNNNNNNNNNNNNNNNNNNNNNNNNNNNNNNNNNNNNNNNNNNNNNNNNNNNNNNNNNNNNNNNNNNNNNNNNNNNNNNNNNNNNNNNNNNNNNNNNNNNNNNNNNNNNNNNNNNNNNNNNNNNNNNNNNNNNNNNNNNNNNNNNNNNNNNNNNNNNNNNNNNNNNNNNNNNNNNNNNNNNNNNNNNNNNNNNNNNNNNNNNNNNNNNNNNNNNNNNNNNNNNNNNNNNNNNNNNNNNNNNNNNNNNNNNNNNNNNNNNNNNNNNNNNNNNNNNNNNNNNNNNNNNNNNNNNNNNNNNNNNNNNNNNNNNNNNNNNNNNNNNNNNNNNNNNNNNNNNNNNNNNNNNNNNNNNNNNNNNNNNNNNNNNNNNNNNNNNNNNNNNNNNNNNNNNNNNNNNNNNNNNNNNNNNNNNNNNNNNNNNNNNNNNNNNNNNNNNNNNNNNNNNNNNNNNNNNNNNNNNNNNNNNNNNNNNNNNNNNNNNNNNNNNNNNNNNNNNNNNNNNNNNNNNNNNNNNNNNNNNNNNNNNNNNNNNNNNNNNNNNNNNNNNNNNNNNNNNNNNUAAAUGUCGUUAAUUAAUUAAUUAACUAAAUACAAGUUGGUCUAUGGAGGCCAAUAUCUGAUCCCUUCACAAUAACCAAAAUAUUAAAUUCAGUGCACAAAUUUAGAUACAUGCAGACAAAUAAGAUGCAGGUUAUUAUGGCCUACCUUGAACAUCAAAAUUUUUUUUUUUCAAUCCAAUCCCUCUUAGGAUAUAAACUCGUUAACGAAAAAAGAGCAUUAGAAAAAAUAAAAAGCUACAAUGUCGAUUUCCAUUUAGUGUACAAUUCUUUACUUUUGAAGACAGGACAUACAAAAUAAUUAGAUUGAAUUGUGUCUGAUUAUGAGAAGCAUUGAAAAUUGCAUAUAUUGAUAAUUUCUUAAACCUAUUUUUAUAAUAUUUAAAUCCUUGAAGCUUAAACUAGCAAGAGUCUAGCCAGAUCUUAUAUCAAUACUUCCAGCCCGUCAAUGAAAUAAGAUCCACAAAAGAUGGGACACGGGAGAAGGGAUGAAGUUUACUCACCUUCAAUAUCAAUACUUCCAUUCAAUUCAUUAGUACCCAAUGAUAAGUGUUUGAGUGAUGAAAGACCACCUAGAGAUGAAAAGAUGCUGUUGUUGAAGUGGUUAAGGGUUAAAUCAAGAAACUUCAAGUUCUUCAAACUUGAUAACCUAUCUAGACCUGUCAAAAAAUAAAAAGUAAAAAAUAAAAAAUAAAACAUAAUUUUAUUGUAUCACGUAUAAAUUAAACAAAAGUCAAAAGGGAUUAGAUAAAUGUAAGAAAUUACGAAGGAGAAUUAAAAUAGAGUAAAUUAAGGACCUUCAUUUUGAACACAACCGGUUAUAUUAUUCCCACUUAAAUCAAGAAACUCUAAUUGUUGAAAGGGAGUAAACAGAGAGGCAUUCAUAUACCACUCUGCUGAGUCCCGUUUUCGAAAUGCUAGAUCUAAUUUAAUCACUCUGCCAGUGGUGUUGUUGCACUCAACCCCUUCCCACUGACAACAAUCUGAAUAAUUCUCACCAUCAUUCCAGUAGUGAAGAUGUUUACUAUCAUUGAAGAAAUGUUUAAGUUGGAGGAGAGCAGACCUCUCUUGCUCCAAACAUCCCUCACUCCACCACCCUUUAACUGCUAAUAAUAUGAAAAUUAACUCACUCACCCACACCCUUUUUGAACCACACAUUAUAUCUUCUUAAUUAUAAUCACCUACACACACUCUUUCUGUCACUCUUUGCUUCAGUUCUGCAACAACGAGAGGAUGGCUGUAUGCUAUUUAUAACCAAUUGAACUGAUGAUACUCCCAGCUUUUAAUUGACUUCUCUAAGUCUUGCAUGCGUUUUUCUUCAUUUCUUUUUAUUUUUACUGUUAAUAUGUAAUAUGAUUAUAAUAUAUUUUAUUUAAUUCAGUCAACUGAAAAUAUUUCCUCUCCGUCCAUACUCCAUAUGGGAUGUCAUAAAUAUCUGCACAGCCUGGAUUCUGACGGAACCUUGGGCAACGCGGGUAAUACCGAUUGUAUUUGUCAUAUCAACAUCAUUCGUUGUCACGAAGAAGGUGAAGAGUCUUCUUUCUUUCUUCGAAGUUCAUGAAAGGAAAUCAUGUUUUACACGUUAGUUGACUUUGAAUUGACCCCAAAUCGCGAAACAUUGGCCCUCAAUCCUCUCUCUCUCUCUCUCUCUCUAAUUACUAAAUAAGUGAAAUUAUUAUUGAAAAUUUUAAGCUACAAACCAGCAAUUUUACAUUAAAAAAAAUCGAUAAUCAAAUCUUUAUCCACUGUUGUAGCUUUCGACAGCUUUGCAAAAUAACUGUAAGCCAAUAUAUUUCAAUUAAAAGUCACGUUGCUUUUAACAACCUUUGGCAACCAGAUACAUUGAUGGGUCGAAUAUACAAUAUUGGUGACAUUACAUUAGUAAUAUUACUCAACUAUUAACCUUUUUAAAACGACACAGUAAAAGACCACCGAAAAGGUUAUAUUUUUCGGCGUUUUUUUGUUUUACGAUGGGACAAUUCGUACUCUAAAAACUAAUCAGAACACUCAUAAUCUAAUAAAAUUUAUUUUACGCUGAUAAAUUAUUCGUUAUGCAAUUUACCGUUAUAGACAAGUAGACUUAAUAGAUUUAAUAUCUUUUUACGUAUGUUCUUUGCUCAAAAUAGAAAAUCUGAUUCCAUCUCCCUUAAUUUUUUUUCUUUUUACUUUUUCUAACAUUUUCUCCUCCUCGAUUUCACAGGUAAAUAUUUAUGCUAACAAACUGUUAUUGAAAAAAAAAAGACAAACAAAUAGAUAAUUGGGUUGCUGUUUAUCUUAAAAGAACAAAUAUCAAGAAUGUCCAAAGUAUUAUUUAUAUUUAAGCAUAAAUUUUAUUUUAUUUAACUUAAAAAAAUUGGGGAUAAUGACUUGGUUACAAUCUUUAGAAUUAGAUAGAACCUCCCUCAAGUCUCGGCUCCAAAAACUUAUUCUUGUAUGUAAUAACGUUAUGUAUUUGUCACGUUAACAUAAUUGGAGUCACUGUCCGGAAAGAGACGAGAGGCACUCUCUUUCAUGGAAAUUCAUGAACACGUGAAAGCAAAUCAAACCAUUUUAGGGUGCGUGGAAGUUAGGCAUGGAAUAUUUGUAAUUGACUUUGAGUCAACAAAUGCCCCCUUUUCUCUCUUAUUUCUAUGAUUACUUAAAUAAAUUAUUUUAUAUUAAAAAAAAAACAACAGUGAAAAUUGAAAGCAAGAAAAAUUUUAGUAAACGACAUACUUAACUGAAAUGCCAGCAAUCAAAUGCAAAGAAGACCUGCUUAGUCUUUUCAAGAGCUAUUGAAUGCAACUUUAUCAAUUCAAAGUUAUGGAUAUAAUGAAAAAGCGAAUAUUGCUUUCAACAAGCAGUCUAACAUAUUUUUUAAUGUAGGCAAUCUCACAUAAUCUGUUAAGAGAACUCCACUGAAGAGUAGAGUAAUGUUAUGAUUUCUGACAGUUAAGUCUUAAUUUAUGUGUGUUAUUAAUCUAUUAGAUAUUAGAUUUCAUGACUAUUAGAAUUAAUAUUUUACUGCUCAAUAGAUGAUUACUAUACUAAUUGGGACCAAAUUAAGAGUUGAUUGUUAGGAUCCCAAAUACUACUGUGCAAAGUAAUAUAUAUGAUUACUAUACUAAUUGGGACCAAAUUAAUUUAUGUGUGUUAUUAAUCUAUUAGAUAUUAGAUUUCAUGACUAUUAGAAUUAAUAUUUUACUGCUCAAUAGAUGAUUACUAUACUAAUUGGGACCAAAUUAAGAGUUGAUUGUUAGGAUCCCAAAUACUACUGUGCAAAGUAAUAUAUUGGGCAUAAGCAAGUCAUUGAAGCGAGCGAAAAAUUCAACCCAUUUACAAACCAUCAAAUUUCUUUUCACAACACAAGCAUUUUUGUCAUCGGCAAUUCAAACAACCAUUCCGUCCCUUUCUCUGCUCAAUACCUUCCUUAAAUUGUUCAUAAUCUUAACCUUUGAUUUAAGUUGUUUCUUCUUAAUUGUUCGUAGCCUUAACAUUUGUUUAAGCACAUGUUUCCUAGUAAUUUCUUAUUUUAACAUGCUUUCAUCUUUUGAUAACUAGUCAGGGCAAUUUAAUAAUACUAUUACUUUUAAAAUAAUUAAUGUUAGUCGAGAUGUAAAAAUAAUUAGCCGUGUGAAGAUAAAUUGUUAAGUUUUUAUUUAUUUAUUUAUGCAAUGUUAGAUAUUCCAACAUUUAAGUCCUAAUUUAGUCCCAACAAAUAUAACAUUUAUCAAGUGGUUAAAUACUUUUACAAACUAUGAAAUCUAUUAUUUAAUAAAUCAGUGAUACAUAAUAUUAAGAUUCAAAUAUCAAGAUUUCUAACAUCAUUAUUAUUAAAUCUUAUUCUCUGAAUUAAUCUUGGAAAACUAUUCCAUUUUUCUUUUUCAAAAGAUGCAAUAGCGUGUGUAGCGGUUUGAAUUAAUUGUGCAAACUACUUUUCAAUGAAAUAAACAAAAAUGGGCCCUCGAUUUGGUUGCAAUACCGUGUGUAGCGGUUUGAAUUAAUUGCAAACACUCUUUUGUACUUGGCAAUGGUCUCUUGGCCCACUGUCACACCCUACGCUCUCAAACUAGCGUGUAUGAGUUCUGAAUCCUGACUAUUGAAAGGACUUAAUUCUCGUUCCAGUUAAAUUGGAUAGAAGUAAAAAUGUCUCUUCGUUAAUAGUGGAAAAGAAUAUAUAUCUCUCUUUGAUAUUAUAUGAGAAUAGGAAUUUGGGUUGUACUAGUUUAGAAUUAUCAAAGAUAGUCAGAUAAAAUUCUGAUUGUAAAUAUUAAUAGAAUCUUGAUUGUUAUAUAUCAAUGUAACAAAAAAAAAAAAAAAACUCAUAGUCCUUAUGAUUACCUGUUUCCAUAAGCCACCAAUAUCUCACCGUUGCUUUCAUUUACAAAUAAUCUAACGACCGUUUAAGAUACAAAAUUUGUAGCCCUCAAUCUCUAUUUCUUACUUUUGUUUUGUAGCCCUCGUUCUCUAUUUCUUACUUUUGUUGUUUUUCCUUUUUGAAAAAAAAUUAAAAUUAUGUUAUAACCAUUUCGUAAAUUAUUGUUUUAUUUUUCAAAAUUACAUUGCAAUCUAUUUAUAAAAUCAGGUAUUACCCUACUUUUAGUUUUAAUGCAAGUUUUGUUUAUUAUUAAAAAAGAUACAGCAUAAAAUUAUUGGAAACAACUGAAUUUAACCAUUCAAUUUUGAUCGCAUGCAUGGCAUAUAACUAAAUUGGGCCGCUUCUGCUCACCUCUUACCCGAUUUUAUAUGCUCAAAUUGAUCAGUCGAAUCCAAAUGGGGGGAUCUGAUAUUUUGGGUUGUGGUGGAACUGACGGAGCCACAUAUUUGGAUACUGACCUAGAGAUUUCUUUGAAUAAUUUUAUAGUGUUGCUCAAGUGAUAUUGCGUGAGGCUUGCGGGUGAAUCAAACACAUCAGCUCUAAACGGCAGCGUUUUGGCAUUAUAAGAUAAGAGCACUUAAAAGUCACGGGCUGAAGCACGUGUGUAAUCACUUGUUUCUUAAGAUUGAAACGGCAGUUCUUCUUUGUCGUUUAAGGGAAAGCUUUAAGUGAUGCACGUGAUAGCCGUGCGUGGCAACUUGAUUCAGUUCGUUAAGUUUGUUGCUCAACGUGUCAACAAGCUGUGCAAUCUGGAUUUAGCUGAUUCGUUGCUCUUGUAGUUCAGUUUGUGAGCUGAGCGUGUGUGUAACCGUGUUAAGAGAGAGAGAUAUCAGAGAAUGUGAAAGAUGAGUUCUCUGUAAUCUUAAGUAAAAGCCCUGUAAAAGAUCCUCCAUUGUUAUUCAAUAAAAGCUCUUCAGAAAGCAUCUCCCGUGGAUGUAGGUUGUACCUCCUUGGUGCAACCGAACCACGUAAUUGAUUCUUGUGUUGUCUGUGUUUGUUUCUAUUCUUUUCAGUUCUCUUAAUUCUUGUGUUAAAUUGAUUCUUUCUGGAUUCGUUCUUCAAUCUGUGCAACUUGGUAAAUCUAUAUCUGAGAUCCUGGGAAGUGAUUGUGUCUUGCAUAGUUACGAGCAGAUUCAUUCACUACGUAUUGUUUCAUUUUUUCCAAAAUCAAAACCACGUUGAUUUGAUUUUGAACUUUUUCUGGUGAAUAGUUUCUUCACCUUGCAGCCUUAUCAGGUCGUUAAUUAUUUCAUUCUUCACCGCAUAGCGAGACCAUCCAGUGAUUUAAUCAUGCAGCUAGUGAAUGUGAGUUUCUGCAGAUGCAUUAGUAGGUUUUUGCUUGUAUUUAGGCCCUCUACUCUCAUAGGGAAAGGCAAUUGCAUUGUACACACUAAUUUGGUUGCAUGGAAUUGAUAUUUUUUCUUAAUUAUCUGGAUCCAUCUGUUUGCCCUGUUCGGUCCAAAAUAUCAAAUAUUUAUAAAUUCAACCAUGCCAUCAUCUAAUUCCUUUGAACUUAUAACUGUUUCACAAGUUACUUAUGCUACUCUUAAUAUUUUGAGAUUGAAGACAUGUUCAUAUUUGAUUUCCUUCAUUCAGUUGCGUACUGCCUUUGGCUGCAGAAUUUGCAAUCUGACCAUCUAAUUAUGAUAAAAUUAACUGGCAUUUUUUGCAGGCGUAUCUUUCUCGACCACUAAAGAGAUGUUAGCUGAUGCUUUUUCACAAUUUGGCCAAGUCACUGAGGGUUUGGUCUAUUUCUGUUUUAAGUCUCAACCCCUCUUCCCUCUUCACUAUUUUGUAAUAUCCGAUUCUUUUCUUUUUGCAGCUACAAUAAUAAUGGAUAAAGGUAAGAAUAGAUCAAAAGGUUACGGGUAUGUGACUUUCAGUACAGAAGAGGAAGCCCAAAAAGCCUUGGCAGACAUGAAUGGGAAGGUAAAAUUGCAUCAUUUUUCUCUAAUUUACCAUGCUUAUAUUGUUGAGUUAAAGCAUCUCACAGUAUGUACUUGCAGUUACUAGAUGGACGAGUUAUUUUUGUGGAUAAUGUAAGACCCAGCAGACGUUACAAUACUGAUGCGCCCCUUGCAAGACAACUUCCUCAGUCUCCUGAAGAAAAUUGAUAUUAAAUUUGUCGAAAGUUGGAGAUUAUAGCCUAAUUUUCUGUACAUAUAUUUAGUCUUUCCUAGUAUAGCUUAUUUUUCUAAUUUCAUAUAGCUUCCUUAUAUAGCCUAGUCAGACUAGUAUAUAAUGUAAAGAUUGCAACUUCUAUGAAAAAAAAAUAUCUUCCCAAUAUUUUUUCUCAAAAUUGUUUUACAUUUCAUAUUAAUAUAUUGCAACAAUUCUGUUGUUCUUUUAUGAUUACCUUCUUGUUGACAUGGGAUAUCUCUGUUUAUCGUUUGGGUAACUGCUAUGAGGAAGGAGCAAAGAUCUGGGAGAUUGCGCUGGAUCUGCGGCUACCUUGCAAUUUUCAAGUUAUGAUAAUAUGAACGGGAAAAUGGGAGACUCUUGGUUUUGGAUUUUAGAUGAUAUAAUUGCCAUUAGAUUGAUAUCAUAUGCGCCCUUGUGUAAAUAUGACCUAAGUUGAUUUGAAGUGCUCAUAAGCUGGAAGAAACAUCGUUGGUACCUUGGCGCAUAGUGGUUUUAUUCCAUCUGAAAAUUUUCCCAGAUGCAUCAAACCCGAAAAACUGCGGUUUCGGAUACAAGUUCAUAGAAGAAAUGUACAUUCUGUUGAUUGGCUCAAAAGAAAAUUACUCUUCUCAAAGUGUGUGCGCGUGCAUAUAUAUAAUGCAUUACGAGACUAAAUACAAGCCCGUGGACACACAUCUUUUAUUGUAAGAAAUUCCGCUCAUAGAUCGUCUGCUGCGAUAAACAAAAAAAUAAUUCGUCUUGUUUCGAUAAUUCAGACACUUCUCUUGGCUUAGUGCCUCUAUCCGCUGUAAUCACCAAGUUCAGAAAUCACAUAAGCAUUAUUCUCUGCCCAAAAAAAAAAAAAAAGGCCAGCUGUAACAUCAGGAUGAAAAAUUGUUAAGGAAGCUCAUCAUGCUUGCUGUACAGUAAGCAAAACAGAAGAUAAAGCAGAGGAUUGCGGCAGCUAUAGCACACAGUUAAAGGUUGAUGACUUGGCUGUCCAGCUGGCACCUGAUGGUUAUGUGAUUACCAGUACACGUGAAGAUUUAGUUUGAUUAGUUAUAUUUAGUAAAUUGCUAAAGUAGUAGUUAGUUAUACAAUUAAGCUGUUAUCUUCAGCUGUGUACAUAAACAACAAUGUAUUCACAUUUUGAGUAUUCGGAACAAAUUGAAAGAUGUUCUAGAAUCCUCUUAGCUUCAAUUUUAUUCUCUCAACUUUCUUCCAUUUUCUCGUUUGCCAAACACUCAAUAAAACAAUUUUAACUAAAAUGAAUCUCAACAAAUGUUUUUCGCAUAUUAGAUUUUCUAUUUUUGGCACAACAAGCUAUAGGCAUCUUCCUAGGAUCAAUUGUUGAAAACUAUCCUUUGUGUCACUGAGCUAAACCAUAACACAUUCGUAGUUGUCAUUUGCCAACUUCUCCUGGGAGACUUCCACCUCGGUUAUGAGAGAAAAUCUUCUCUGAAAAAGUUACACAGGACUGGUGCAGCAUCGUGCUUCCGCAUCAAGCUUUUUUUACCUUACGGGAUGGGGGUCUUCGAAACAAACUGAUUAGAUCAUCAAGACCCUGUUGGAAAACUUGGAACUUUUGAAGUUUCUAUUCUAAUCUGUUUGCAAUGAAAUUAUAAAACAUCAAAUAAAAGAUAAAACUGAAAUUUAGAACUUCAAGCUUGAUAUGGAGAAAGAGUAAUACCCAAGUUGUUAUGACAAGAAAGCUGAAAAGCACAAUUAAAUACGAUCCCAACACUAGAAGCAACAGCAAGUCGAAUGUUACACUAGCAACCUGUAAAAAAAAUCUGCAGUAAUGAGCUUCAAGCAAAUGAAGGAAAAAGAUCAAAACUUUAUACAUAAAAAGCUAAUGAAGGACUCUGAAGUACGUAGAAGGCUUGAGACGAGCCGUCUAGCGUUCAAUGGAGAGAGAGAUUACACGUCUAAACAAUAUUAGUUUCUAGAAGGUAAAAACAAGCAGGCACCUGAUAUAUGUUGAGGCUAGCUUUAGUUGUAUCAUAGAAAGUAAACAUCCCGUCAAGCACCUCAUGUUGCACACUCACCUCGUCGGUAUGAUCGGCCAGUUCCUGCAAUCAAACAUACAGAAUAAGGUUAUACAAAGUAACAGGCUUGGGCUUUCUCACCGAAGCGGGGUUGUUAGUGGAGAUUCUGAGUCCAAUUUUACAAACUUAAGAUCGAGUUAUUCAGUCUUAAAGUCUGUUUGGUAUAGCUUCUUUAAGUAGAUUCUACACUAGUAGAGCUUUUAACAAAAUGUUGUUGGUUGUUUAGUUGUCCAUAUAACAUCUUUUAGCAAACAAUAACAUCAAGUUAUUUUUGACAAUUCAACCUUUCAAAAAAGCCCAAAAAAUCUCCUAAAAGCUUCCUACAGAGAACAGGAAACAUCAUUUUUAAUCUUCCACAAGCUCUUCCUUAGUUAAACCAAACAAGAAAAACAGUUUGAAACAGUUUUAACAUCUAAAAAAGCUCUUUGGUCCCAUAAAGAAACCAUCUGUGUAUAUCUUGGUCCUUGUAAUUAUCUUUAGGCUUUGCAAAUAUCUUCUAACACUGUUUGAAAUGGAAGAGUUCUCUUUGGAUUACAUUGAUUCUUUGAAUAGGAAAGAUCUAAACGAUAACUUUUUAAACAAAAACUAUUAAUUAAUGGCUUUCUUUAUCAGGCUGUGAUUCUUCGUUUUCGUGGCUUAAUAUGUAAAAUGUAACUAACAUAGGUACAUGGAAGGCUACAGGAACUAGAUGGUUGACUAUGCUAUUCACCCAGUCAUUGGUUGAAGGUGCAGUAGAUACCUAAUCUUAAUUAAUGUUGAAUUUACUUAUAAAUGUUCGUUUGCAAGACUUAUUUGUGUUUUUACCAGGAUAGUGAAGGCUAAAAUAGGAGUAUAUGGGAUGUUGUUAGCAAUUGCUUAUUAAGGUCUGUAUUAUCAUGAGUUGUCUUUUCUAAUUAGUUCUUGAUUUGACACUAAAGAAGUCUUGGACUAGUUAAUUAGUAAAAUGCGAUGUAAUAAUAAUAUAGUCUGUAUAUUUUCUCUACCCAAAUAGUAACGUAGUCUUUUUAUUAUAGUUCUGUAGGUGUGGGCAAUGAAGAAAGGUUAGAAAAGUUGCCUAACGGUGGUUGAAAGGGAGCAAAAACGUGGUUACUAGCUAGGUCGAUUUGUUGUCCCCCGGGGGGGUGGGGUGGGGUUUGGCAGAAUAACAUGUUGGCAACCUAUAGAUUGCUAUUUUACCUUCAAAAAAGAUCAAAUAGAUGAUGCUGGAAAGUUCCAAGUCAAAACAAGGAAAAGGGAAAAAGAAAUUUCAAUGGAGGUCCAAAGCAAUAGAUAUUCUCAUGGCAGGAGAUCUAGUAAGUCACCUAUCUGGACCACAAGCCUCCUUCUUCCUUCAAGAUUGUAAGGUUCAGUUGGGGGCCCCUAGUUUCUGACUCAAGUUCGUUAAUUGGGUUCGAAGGUAUCUGGAUUAAUCCUACUAACAUAUCUUCUGAUGUGUCAUAGUUGUAAAACAGUUGUAUGCUCUUUCAUUUAGAAUGGCUGUAUCAUACUCUUAUUGGUGCCUAGUAUUUGUGAGUUCAUAAGAGUGAUUUUUACUAUUGUAUAUUGUUAGCAGUUCGUAAUAUAUACACUUUAAUUUUUCCUCCUAGUUAAGUGUAUUAUGUGCUUUUCAUUUGCAAAAUUUGUACGAAACUUUUAUUGUGUAACUCUCAAUAUCAAUAAAGUAGGACUAUUGCCUGAUGCUUGGAAUUUCUAAGAUGAGGGUUUUUAUGAUUUUGUCAAAUUUCCGAUGAUCCAAAACGGACCUAAAUAGCUUUCAAUGGGUGUUUGCUUGACAGAAGCUUUAACAUGAUAGGUGAAGGCUCUUUUAGUUGUUAACUAAUCAUUGUACUUCCUAAGCAAGUUUGAUUUAUUGCUCUCUGGGCAAAUUUGUUGUAGGUGUAAUAAUUUCGGUCCUCAUUUUUUUUCUUUUAUAUUUUUCUAAGAGAUCCAUUUAAGCAUAUUAAUCGCAAAAAAUCAAGUGACGUACGUAAAUGAAUGGUAAAUAAUAGUGAAAAAUAGAACAAAAAUUGUACAUCUUUCGUUCAUAUAUGUAUUCUUAAUUAAUGUAAUAAAAGGUUAGGUUUAUAAAAUUACUUAAUUUAAUUUGAGAGACAAAAAGUGGUGUAACAUACGUAUAUUAUAAUACAUUCACUAACUUUAGGGAUCCUAAUUAUUGUACUAAUAUUCAACUGUAAUUGUCACAUUAUAUUAGUCAUUGAUGUUUACUAAGUUUUUCUUGAAUAAUAAUCUCAUCAUUUCAUGAUAAACAUUAAUAAUUAAGUUAAUGUUGCAGUUACCGAUGAGUUAUUAUAUUAGUUAUGAUUGAAACAUUGAGAUAAUAAUUGGGAUUUCUAACAUUAUUCUAACACAUUAAUAUUGAUAAAUUUAAAAAAUAAAAGGGGUUAAUAGUGUAUGGGUAAAAUAUGAUUAUAAUAAAUCUAAUUUUGGGGUCUAAAUGACAUAAAGGAAAACAAAAAAAGUAGAGAAAUUGAAAGAAAUAAAUGCUAUUUCCCAGAUGUUUGAAAGACGUUAAAGCAAGAUCAAUCUCGAGUCUCAGUCCAAACUGUUCACCUCACCUUGUUUGGCUGUUCAACUCUUUCACGCUCUCUCGGCUAUCUUAUCAAACACUUUAUUUACAAAAGAGAGAGCUCACAGAAAGACCAUGGGGCUUCUGCUUGGGGCAGAGCCCAAAAGGACUAUGAAAAAUGUCGCAGAACGGAAAAUUGAUGCCUAAUCUGGACCAGCAGAGCACAAAACUCCUAAACUUGACAGUUCUUCAGCGAAUCGAUCCAUUCAUUGAGGAGAUCCUCAUCACGGCUGCUCAUGUCACCUUCUACGAGUUCAACAUCGACCUCAGCCAAUGGAGUCGUAAGGAUGUUGAAGGAUCUCUGUUCGUCGUCAAAAGGUCAAUAAAAUUAGAUUCUUUUCUCUCUUAUGCUUUCCAUUUCUUCAUUUGAUAUUCGUUGUUUUGGAGAUUGUAUUACAUAUGAAGUUUGUGAAAUUAUUAUUUUUUCAAUUUUCAGGAACACACAGCCUCGAUUUCAGUUUGUUGUGAUGAAUCGACGUAAUACAUGUUGGUUUAUCGUUGCUUCUAUUUUAGUUUUGAUUAUUUGUACGUGAACUAGUUUUAAUUUCAGUGAUGAAUCACUUUAUCACAGUUCUAGCUAAUAAUUGAGGUUUUAGAACGAAGAAUAGAAUGUACCUAACCGAAAAUAUUUAUAUGCCAAUAUUACAGAGGCUAAAGUAUUUGCAAUGUUGUUGUUUAGCGUUAAAUAUUGGUCGUUUUAUGACCAUCAGGAGAGGGGGUUGGUACAAUUAUUUAGAUACCGUGAGUCUAUCUUGUCUACAACUUGUGUUAUAUUUCAUGUCUUGUUGUGCUUAUCAGUUGUUGCUAAGUUUUAGUUAUAUCUCCUAACCUUCAUGUCUUUUUGCAUAUGUUUUUGCACUGAUAAGCUUUAAUAUCUUGGAUAUGUGCAGAUAAUUUAGUGGAAAAUCUUUUGGGAGAUUUUGAGUUUGAAGUUCAGGUUCCGUAUUUGUUAUAUCGAAAUGCAUCCCAAGAAGUAAAUGGGAUUUGGUUCUACAAUGCUCGUGAAUGUGAAGAGGUAGCAAAUCUUUUUAGCAGGUAUUGUUGUUUUACUGGUUUUACUAGUGUAGUAGUUUAAGUGUAUAUUAUUAUGUUUUACAUGCUAAUAAUUGACACAUAGAGAAUAGUUUAGAAUCUUAACCAAACUUGGAAAUGUGUUUCAAAUAAUAGAGUAUGGUUAUUACAUGUUGCUUCUGCCGAGGCCUCGUGAACCUGGUUUUAGUUAUUGUUUUCCUGAAUUUUAUAUUGGAAUUAUUAUUCUUGGAAUCUGGCUUGUACAGAUUUCUUUUUUGCCUUGUGUGGCAUCUUUGAAGUUUGGUUAAUAAAACUUGUUUAAUGCUAUUAUAUUCUCCUCCUUGCAUGCUUUUUAUUUUGAGAUGUGCAGUGCCAAGUGCAAAGGAGUUAUUUUUGUAUAGAAACUGACUAUUUUAUACUAGAGUCGUUCUGUGCCCCUUAAGAUUGGAAAAAGAACGGGUUGCGUUUCCUUUACAUUUAGGAGAUAGGAGAACAAAACAACCUGGGGAGUUGGUAACGAAGCCUUCAAUUUUUUUUCAUCAUGCAAGGGUGGACCAAAGAUUCUAUAGAUGAUAUCUGGAGUCCUCGGUGUUCUCAUAUUAGGUUUUUAUGGUUUCAUUGUUCUUCAGAUUCGUCUGAAAAUGUGCAUCUCAUAAAGACAUGAUUGUUUUAUUUGUUGACUUGCAUGUGGUAAAAGUCAAUUUUCUUGCCGUAAAAAAUAGAACGCAAGAAGAUUCUUUGAGGUUCUAUAUUUGUAAAUUUUUCAAUUUGGUAUGGACUAUAGGUUGUACAGUCAAUGAGAAUUUAAAUUGGUUUUUUAGGAGUGGGGGCUGAGGUGGUGUGGGAAGAAAUCUUUAUAUUGUAUUAGUCUAUGGGAGCAACAAGUUCAGAAGUAUGGUUAGAAUGUGGAAUUUUUUCAAGCAAGUGCAAGCUCCCAGAAUUUUAAAGAAACGAGUGAAUGGCAAGAGAGAAUAGAGAGAAAAUUUCAGAGAAGAAGAAGAAACUGAGUCCAGAAUUUUAUAUAUAUAUCCCAUCAAAUACAACCAUGGAAAUACUUAUAGCAGCAAGAAUAUGCUCACAGCUGUCAAAACUAAAUAACAACCUCUCUCUAUAACAAAGAAUUAUUCUCUAAAUAGCUAAAGCCGUUAGAAACCGAAUCCUCUGCUCAUAUAUGCUCAGUGUGUGUAAUCCUUGAACCAUUUGGGUGGCUUCCUUACGCGACUUGGCUUGAUGAUAUCUUGGGGUCGGUUUUGGAUAGCCUCACUUGAGUUUGCCUGGGCCUUUUCCUCGCUAUUGAUAGAGCUAGCUGAGUUGGGCUUGUCUAACUGUAAUAUUGGGGUUGUAUCACCCUCCACUCCUUGAGGAAUCACCUUGUCCUCAAGGUGAAAAUUCGGGUACUGCUUAGUGAAUUCGGAAAGAGCUUCCCAUGUUGCAUUCUCAGGAGCACAAUCCUGCCACUGCACUAAAAUUUGGGAUUGUAGGAUGCCAUGAACCAACACUUGACGUUGAACACAAAUAGCAAUGGGAACAGACAUAGGCUGGUUAUUGUAAGACUCGCUAGGUAGUGAGUGAACUUGUGAGGCAUCCUGACCAUGAAACGGCUUGAGAAGUGAGAUGUGAAAGACUGGAUGAAUCUUAGAAUCAGGAGGUAAAUCCAAGCGAUAGGCCACAACGCCAAUACGCUCCAUUACUCGAAAAGGACCAUAAUAUCGCUUCGCUAGCUUGUUGGAUAAUUUGUUUGCAACUGAUAUUUGCCGAUAAGGCUGCAACUUAACCAAAACUUGAUCCCCGACCCGAAGCUCUAGCUCACGGCGAUGAGCAUUAGCCUUUUGCUGCAUUCUAUGUUGAGCUGCUCGCAAGUUGGUUUUCAAGGCUGUUAGGAAGGCAUCACAUUCCAGCAGCAAUUCAUCAAGUGCUUGGAUUGAAGUAGAGCUCCCGGUAUAGGAAGGAAUUACAGGUGGCUCAUGACCAUACAAGGCCUUAAAAGGAGACAUUUGGAUGCUUGUAUGAAAGCUAGUGUUGUAAGAAAACUCAGCCUAGCCUAAAUAAUCGAACCACGAUGUCGGUUUCGCUUGUGUGAAUACUCGCAAAUGCUGCUCGAGUCCUCGAUUAAUAACCUCUGAUUGGCCAUCCGUUUGAGGAUGAUAUGAUGUACUAUGCUUCAAUGUGGUACCACUUAACUCAAAGAGUUUCUUCCAAAAGCUACAAAGAAAGAUAGAGUCACGAUCUAAAAUUAUUGUACGAGGAAAACCAUGGUGCUUAACAACCAUAUCAGUGAAUAAAACAACUGUUUUGCUUGUUGUAAAGUGUGUGGGUAGAGCACCAAAAUGAGCUGAUUUUGUCAAUCGGUCAACAACGACUAAGAUAACAGUGAACCCAUGGGAAGAGGGUAAACCUGUAAUGAAGUCUAUGGUAACUUCCUACCAAACUAGUGAAGGUAUAGGCAAGGGUUGAAGGAGUCCAGUUGGUGCCUGAGUAGAGUAUUUUGUUUGCUGACACAAUAAACAAGAGGCGACAAAUAACUCCACAUCCUUGUGCAUAUUUGGCCAAUAAAAGAGAGUGGAUAGACGAACUAAUGUCCGCUUGACUCCGGCAUGACCUGCAACUGGUGUGGCAUGAAAUUCUUGUAAUAAAGAAGGCUUCAAAACAGAGUGAGAGCUGAUGAAGAACCUGUUUUUGAACCGUAGGAUUCCAUCCGAGACCGAAUAUGGAUACAUUACAGAACCAGAGGAAUACUUCUGAUGGAGAGCUAAGAGAUCCGGUAAAGACUGAUUUUCCGCACGAAGAAUAGAGAGGAAUUUAGGAAUAGGACAGCUAGCGAGUAACAGAGUAGCAGUAGAAUGGCCAUAUAAUUUAGGGACAUCAACUUCAUGUACCCUGGAUAAGGCAUCAGCUGCACUAUUAGUUCGACCCGGCUUAUAUUCAACCCUGAAAUGAUACCCCAGUAAUUUACGAACAUAAAAUUGUUGCUCUGGAGUUUGGAUAACCUGCUGAAGGAGCUCUCGAAUACUUUUCUGGUCAGUUCGGAUAAUAAAGAAAUGGCCUAACAAGUAUUGUCUCCACUUAUGUACUGCUUCGGCAAUGGCAUGAAGUUCUUUGAUAUAAGUAGAAGCGACAAGCAUGCGAGGACCCAAUUUUCGGCUAAAAUAAGCAAUCGGAUGAUCAGCUUGCAUCAGUACGGCUCCAUACCAACAUUCGAGGCAUCCGUUUCAAUAAAAAAAUCCAAUUGAAAAUCUGGCAAGCGAAGGACUGGUGCUGCAUUCAUGGCUUGUUUUAAGGCAGCGAAGGCCGUGUCAGCUGCGGAGGACCAAUGGAAACAAUCCUUCCGUAAUAAAUUUGUGAGAGGGGUAGCAAUGGAAGCAUAUGCUUUAAUAAAGCGAUGAUAGUAGCCUGUGAGACCCAAGAAUCCUCGCAAUUGUUUUGUGGUAGACGGCGUAGGCCAAUUAGACAUGACCACCAACUUGCGAGGAUAAGCCUCAACUCCAGAAGAGGAAACAAUAUGGUCGAGAUAUUCAAUGUUAUCUUGGCAAAAAAAAAUCACUUUGAGAGCUUAAAAAAAAAAUGAUUAGUAUGAAGACAAUCAAAUACUCUAUGUAAAUGCUCAAAAUGGUCUUCUAAAGAAGUGCUGUACACUAAGAUAUCGUCAAAGAAAACGAUCACAAACUUACGGAGAUAAGGAGCAAAGAGCCUAUUCAUUGUCGCUUGAAAUGUGGAAGGGGCAUUAGAGAGUCCAAAAGGCAUAACAAGGAACUCAAAAUGCCCAUCAUGAGUCCGAAAGGCUGUUUUAUAAAUAUCUCUGUCACAUACUCGUAUUUGAUGGUACCCCGCUCGCAAAUCCAGCUUACUGAAAAUACAAGCACCACCAAGCUCGUCUAAUAACUCAUCAAUAGUUGGUAUCGGAAAUUUGUCUUUAAUUGUUACCGCGUUCAAGGCUCGGUAAUCUACACAAAAACGAUAGGAGCCAUCUUUCUUUUUAACCAGCAACACAGGUGAAGAGAAUGGGCUCUGACUUGGGCGAAUAAUGCCUUGAUCAAGCAUUUCUUUAAUUAGUCUCUCCAUUUCGGCCUUUUAGAAGUGAGGAUAACGGUAUGGGCGAACAUUGACAGGUUUAGUAUUUGGGAGAAGAUGAAUGUGAUGGUCAAUAAGUCUAUGAGGAGGUAGGGAAGAUGGAGUGUGAAAUAAUUGCUCAUAUUGAUGAAGAAGGGCAAGUACAGGGGAAGGCAAAUCGGGUGGGAAGUCAAACUUAGCAGCAGUGGUUGGAACAGAGAGGGUAUCCUGCGCGUCUGUAGUAGUAUGCAACUAGAAAAAUUCAAAAAAAUUUGUCUUUAAUUGUUACUGCGUUCAAGGCUCGGUAAUCAACACAAAAAUUAGUAUGCAACUAGAAAAAUUCAAAAAGGCCGUGGAUUUGAUCAUGGGACAUGAGGGCUUGUAAUUGAUGAAAAGAAAUCAGUCUUAGAGACAAUGAGAGAUCACCUCGCAGGAAGACAGGAGAGCCAUUAUAGAAAAAUUCCGUUGACAAUGCCGCAUAGUCAUGAGAAACUUUGCCAAGCAGCUGUAACCAUUGAAUUCCGAGGACAAUAUCCGGUCCCUCAAUAGGAAGAACAUAAAGGUCGAUGUAGAAAACAUGGCCUUGCAUAGAUAAGGUGACUUGGGAACAAACAUAUCGACAAACUAAAGAAUCACCAUUACCGAUAUAUACUGGGAAUGUGGUAGUGUCUUAUACUGCUAACCCCAAAACUUCAGCCACAGCGGGUUUAAUAAAAUUAUGGGUGCUACCACUAUCGAUAAGUGCUUGCACGGGCUGUUGAUUAAUUUCACCAAGGAGUCGUAGAGAGCGAGGAGUAUUUUGGUCCGCUAAGGCAUUUAAACUAGAGAUAUCACCAACUAUAAUAGUUUCCUCAACAACAUCUGAGAUCUCAGAAUUAAUUGGUGGACCCAUCGCCUCGUCAACAUCCUCUGUUCCUAAAAGAAGCAGAAACUUACUACGGCAUCUAUGAGAGUUGCUCCACUUCUGGUUGCAAUUGUAGCAGAGUCCUUUCUCCCUUUUUUCACGAAGUUCUUGAGGAGAAAGACGCUUAAUAGGGAGAGAUGGCGUUGAUAAAAGUGGAGGUAAAGUGGACGGGGCAGGUUGAGGUGGGUUUAUGGCAGGGGCACUUGCAGGAUUAUGAUUGGUUGUAGUAGGGUGAAAGGAUGGUGUGGUGGUUUUGUGGGUUCACUUAGACCAAGGUCUGGACGUAACUUUACUCUCAUCUCCAUGUGCUUCAAACAUACGAGCCAGUGCAAAUGCCUCCAUCAACGAGGAAGGCCGUGACAGCAAUAGCUCGUGAUGAAUAUCCACUCGCAACCCUGUGAUAAAAAAUGAGAUAAGGAGAGGCUCGGAAAUACCAGUGACUUUAUUCAUGAGGUCCCCAAACUCGGUUUGAAAUUCUGCCACACUUGAUUUCUGUGUAAGUUUGGAUAGAUUGCCUUGGUGGUCCUCAUACAGGGAAGCUCCGAAACGAAACUUCAGAUUUUGAAGAAAAUCCUUCCAACUGGUAAGAAGAUCAUUCGCCUUCAUCCAUUGGUACCAAGUCGAAGCGCGACCUUCCAAAUGAAAAGACACGAUGUGGAGACAAAGAGCUUCGGAUGUGCCAUGGAAAUCAAAAUACUCAUUGAUGCGAAAAGCCCAACCGUUUGGGUCAGUUCCAUCAAAUUUUGGGACCUCGAGUUUCAUUGUUCGCAAGAGAGGAUUGGAGUCAUGGGUGCCCGAUGAACCAUCAGAUAUCUGUGGAAACGAGGGUGGAUUCGAUGGUCCAUUUGUUGGAACCGAAGGUAACCCCUUGAUCUGAGAACGCAAGUCCUCCAAGCGAGAAUCCACGGUAAGAGCAUCUCCAAAAGGCUAUAUAAGUUUUACUCUUCAAAUACUUAUUUGCUUACUUAUGUGGCAAAUAGAAAGGUGAAAAAAUAUGAUAUUCUCCAAAAGACAAUUCAAAUAGAAAUAAGUUAAUAUUAUUUUAAUCAUAUAAUUAGUUUUUUAAAGGAAAAGUCAAUAACAAUUAAAGCUCUUCUCUCUCUUUCUUCAAUGAAAAGUAAUAAAAUAUAAAUUGAAGAGGGGGAAAUUAACUCUCCAAAUUUGAAGAGAGGGAAUUAAUUCUUGUUUGAAGAAUUUUAAUUGAAGUGCCUUUUGAAGUUUUAAAUAUUGAUGUGGCUCUUCAAAUAAGUAAUAAAAUCUUAUUUAAAGAGACUUUUGGUGAUGCUCUAAGCAUGUAUUGUUGCAGUGUGUGAUGAACUGCGACCGUUUGGCUAUCAAGUUUUGUUUGUAAAGCUUUAAUGGCAAUUAGAAUCUCCGAAUCAGCCAUGAUGAGCAAAUAUCAAUGAAAGCACCAAUGUUAUGCCGCUGGUGAACACACCGAACAGCAAGGUUUCCACACUUUUCAAGCAAGUGCAAGCUCCCAGAAUUUUAAAGAAACGAGUGAACGGCAAGAGAGAAUAGAGAGGAAAAUUCAGAGAAGAAGAAGAAACUAAGUCCAGAAUUUUUAUAUAUAUCCCAUCAAAUACAACCAUGGAAAUACUUAUAGCAGCAAGAAUAUGCUCACAGCUGUCAAAACUAAAUAACAACCUCUCUCUAUAACAAAAAAUUAUUCUCUAAAUAGCUAAGGCCGUUAAAAACCGAGUCCUCUGCUCAUAUAUGCUCAAUGUGUGUAAUCCUUGAACCAUUUGGGAGGCUUCCUUACGCUACUUGGCUUGAUGUUAGCUUGGGGUCGGUUUUGGAUAGCCUCACUUGAGUUUGCCUGGGCCUUUUCCUCGCUAUUGAUAGAGCUAGCUGAGUUGGGCUUGUCUAACUGUAAUAUUGAGGUUGUAACAGAAUGGCGCCCAUGUGAUAAAUAAGGAGUUUUAAGAAGCAUGCCAUUUGCACUAAUUAAUACUGUCAGACAUGUGAUUCCAUGAACAUGAUGAUGAUCAUCAGUUACAUUUAGUUAGUGAUGGUGGUUUUCACGUGUUUUAACAAACAUGGUAGUAGCAAUUUAUGAAUAUUCAUUACAAAGUGGCUUGUGUUUGGAAAGCAAACAAUAUGACUAUUUUGAGUGGCUUGCGUGUCUACAUAAGUUUUUGCUCUGGCUGCUAAGUUAUUGAAGUUUGACCACACAAUUCUUAUCCAUUUUGUCAUUUUUGUUUGGAGGAUUUGAUGAUUUUCAGUGGGACAGUAGGGUAUAGAGAGUAGUUAUCGUACAUCCGCCUUGGCCGUACAGCAGUGUGUUAGUAAAGUGAUUGCAUUUGCACUUUCCUAGUUGCACCAACAUUUUGCGAUUUGGGAAUUUAAAUGAUGAAUUCUUAAUAAUUCACUUGGUGUUAAGCUUUUCAAUUGUUUUACGGCUAGAAAAUAUUGAGAUUGAGAAGAAAAACAUCUCCUGAUAUGGAUGUUGUAAAUUUUUUUUUUUUUUAACUUUCGUUCUUUUUUUAACUAUUUUAUAAUUUGCUAAAGAGUUGUUUGAGAAUCUCUACAGGGAUAAUGGUAUUUUCAGUUUUACAGAACUUGAUAGUAAAUGAUCAUGUACAACUUCUUUUAUUUAUUUUUUAUAUUUGACAUUCACUAUUUGACCUAAUCGAUAUCUUGGUCCUUGUAUAUUAUCUUUAGGCUUUCCAAUUAUCUUCUAACACUGCUUGAAAUGGAAGAGUUCUCCUUGGAUUAUAUUGAUUCAUUGAAUAGGAAAGAUCUAAACGAGAACUUUUUAAACAAAAACUAUUAAUUAAUGGCUUUCUUUACCAGGCUGUGAUCCUUCAUUUUCGUGGCUUAAUAUGUAAAAUGUAACUAACAUAGGUACAAGGAGGGCUACAGGAACUGGAUGGUUGACCAUGCUAUUCACCCAGUCAUUGAUUGAAGGUGCAGUAGAUACUUAAUCUUAAUUAAUGUUGAAUUUACUUGUCAAUGUUCUUUUGCAAGACUUAAUUUUGUUUUUACCAGGAUAUUGAAGGCUAAAAUAGGAGUAUAUGGGGUGUUGCUAGCUAUUGCUUUUUAAGGUCUGUAUUAUCAUGAGUUGUCUUUUCUAAUUAGUUCUUGAUUUGACACUAAAUAAGUCUUGCACUAGUUAAUUAAUAAAAUGAGAUAUAAUAAUAAUAUAGUCUGUAUUUUUUUCUCUAUCCCAAUAAUAAUGUGGUCUUUAUAUGAUAGUUCUGUAGACGUGGGCAAUGAAGAAAGGUUAGAAAAGUUGCCUAAUGGUGGUUGAAAGGGGGGAAAAAUCUGGCUGCUAGGUCGAUUUGCAUAUUGUCAUCCAUUGGAGAACUUAAGUUGAGUAGGCGAUAUUUAUUGACAACUCAUUGAUGUUUUUUUUUUUGGGGCCCCCCCGGGGGGAGGGGGGGAUAAGAUGUUGACAACCCAUAGAUUGCUAUUUUAGCUUUAAAAAAGAUCAAAUAGAUGAUGCUGGACAGUUCCAAGUCAAAAAAGGAAAAAGGGAAAAGAAAUUUCAAUGGAGGUUCAAAGCAAUAGAUAUUUUCUUGGCAGGAGAUCUAGUAAGUCACCUAUCUGGAAAAAUGCCCCAAGUCUCCUUCUUCCUUCAAGAUUGUAAGGUUCGGUUGCAGCUCCUGGUUUCUGACUCGAGUUUUCCUAAUUGGGUUGGAAGGUAUCUGGAUUAAUCCUCCUAACAUAUCUCCUGAUGCAACAUAGUUGUAAAACAGUUGUAUUCUCUUCCAUUUAGAAUGGCUGUAUCAUACUCUUAUUGGUGCCUAGUAUUGUUGAGUUCAUAAGAGUGAUUUUUACUAUUGUAUAUUGUUAGCAGUUGCUAGCAGUUGAGGCAAACUAAUUCUUGUUACAAGCAUGUUUAUGGGAGGACCCUGGAUGUGAUGCUAUCUUUACACAUAUAUAAAUUACAACUGCCAUUUAUCAAUUUUUAAUUUUUCUAUUGUAAAAUUGUUAUUAACAUUAUUUAUUUGGCUUCCAAAUGCAGGAUUCUUCCAAGGUGCCUCAAAAGCCGAAAUUUGCCACAUCUAAAAGGUAAUGGUAGCUCAAUUUAUAUUUCACAAGUUGUAUAUUAUUUUUAGCCCCCAAGAAAGUAUUAUGCUCUUUAUCAUAUAUUUUAUUUGCACAAAGUUUUUAUUUGUAGCCUCUCAUCUGUUUAAGUAAGAAGUCUGCCAUCUUACAUUGCUAUUACCAGUUUUGAUAUGUAGUAGCAAACAAUUUUUCUUUCUUUUUAGUUGUAUAAUGGUCUUAAUUUUAUAGCUAAUUUAUGUAUGACUACAAAAAAAGUCUUCGAGCAUGUGAUGUAGUUCAAAAGGCACUGAUAUAGUGUUUGUGGACAGCAUCACAUUCUUAGUUAUGGUAGUGCUUGAACCAUAAAUAUGCCCAAGUUACUCUUUCCUUGCACUUGAAAGAGUGUUUUGUUUGGGGAUUUGUGUUUGGUUGCUGGUAGUCCUGUUUGAAUAUCCAAGUAAAUAGACAAUAGAUACCAUGCAAGCUCGCCUUACUCGUAGGCAUGGUGCAUGCUGAACAAGAGGCAAUUUCUAUGGAUCCUAAAGAGGUAAUAAAUUCAGAAGUACACACACUAAUUAACAAACACCACCUCCAAAUUACAAAAUGUUUUAAUCCUUCACCUUCUCACUUCCUAUAGAAUAGCUAACCCUUCACCUUCUCACUUCCUAUAGAAUAGCAUCAUACCAGGCCCUUGCCCUUCUCUUUCCUCUGCACUUAACGGGAGAAUAGCUUUCUCUACUCUAGCGAAAACUCGAAGAACAGCACAAUGAUGAGCAAUUUCGAAUAAGAGGAGUUAGAGAAGAGAGAGAAAAAAUUCUUUGCAUUGCACUCGAGGAUUCAGCUUUGAUUUAUUUUUAUUCUCGUGUUUAGCUAAGGUGAAAUCACCUUCCAUAAGGGUCCACUCAUCAUUUUCCCUACCCUCUUAUAUCAUCUAAUUAUUACUUAAAUUGGUCAUCAAGUUCCUUUUAUGUUAAACUGCAGUGAGUUUGAGGAACUGGAAGCUGUUCCAACUAUGACAGUUAUGGAUGGUCCUCUAGAGUUGGGUGAAAUGAGAUAUGAUAAUAAUAUAGUCUGUAUUUUUUUCUAUAUCCUAAUAAUAAUGUAGUCUUUAUAUGAUAGUUAAAUAAUAAUGUAGUCUUUAUAUGAUAGUUGUGUAGACGUGGGCAAUGAAGAAAGGUUAGAAAAGUUGCCUAAUGGUGGUUGAAAGGGGGGAAAAAUGUGGCUACUAGGUCGAUUUGCACAUUUGUCAUCCAUUGGAAAACAUAAGUGGGAAAAAUGUGGCUGCUCGGUCGAUUUGCACAUUGUCAUCAUUGGAGAAUAUAAGUUGAGUAGGCACUAUUUAUUGACAACUCAUUGAUUUUUUUUUUGGGGGCCCCCGGGGAGGGGGGGGUGAUAAGAUGUUGACAACCCAUAGAUUGCUAUUUUAGCUUUAAAAAAGAUCAAAUAGAUGAUGCUGCAAAGUUCCAAGUCAAAACAAGAAAAAGGGAAAAGAAAUUUCAACGGAGGUUCAAAGCAAUAGAUAUUCUCUUGGCAGGAGAUCCAGUAAGUCACCUAUCUGGAAAAAUGCCCCAAGUCUCCUUCUUCCUUCAAGAUUGUAAGGUUCAGUUGGGGCCCCUGGUUUCUGACUCAAGUUUGUUAAUUGGGUUGGAAGGUAUCUGGAUUAAUGCUCCUAACAUAUCUCCUGAUGCGACAUAGUUGUAAAACAAUUGUAUUCUCUUCCAUUUAGAAUGGCUGUAUCAUACUCUUAUGGGUGCCUAGUAUUGUUGAGUUCAUAAGAGUGAUUUUUCUAUUGUAUAUUGUUAGCAGUUGCUAACAGUUGAGGCAAACUAAUUCUUGUUACAAGCAUGUUUAUGGGAGGACCCUGGAUGUGAUGCUAUCUUUACGCAUAUUGUAAAAUUGAUAUUAACAUUAUUUAUUUGGCUUCCAAAUGCAGGAUUCUGAAUGCAUAUUCCAAGGUGCCUCAAAAGUCGAAAGUUGCCACACCUAAAAGGCAAUGAUAGCUCAAUUUAUAUUUUGCAAGUUGUAUGUUAUUUUUACCCCGCAAGAAAGUAUUAUGCUCUCAUACCAGGCCCUUGCCCUUCUCUUUCCUCUGCACUUAACGGGAGAAUAGCUUUCUCUACUCUAGCGAAAACUCGAAGAACAGCACAAUGAUGAGCAAUUUCGAAUAAGAGGAGUUAGAGAAGAGAGACAAAAAAUUCUUUGCAUUGCACUCGAGGAUUCAGCUUUGAUUUAUUUUUAUUCUCGUGUUUAGCUAAGGUGAAAUCACCUUCCAUAAGGGUCCACUCAUCAUUUUCCCUAACCUCUUAUAUCAUCUAAUUAUUACUUAAAUUGGUCAUCAAGUUCCUUUUAUGUUAAACUGCAGUGAGUUUGAGGAACUGGAAGCUGUUCCAACUAUGGCAGUUAUGGAUGGUCCUCUAGAGUCAACUCCCUCAAAUGCUGCUGAUGCUCCUGAAGAUCCUGCUUUUGUGAACUUCUUUAGUGUAUGUUUUCUUUGAAAUAAUAUGUUUCUGCAUAAGUAUGCAACAUUACCACAAAAAUGCUGCAAGUCAUAUACUAAAUCGACAAUAGAUACCAUGCAAGCUCGCCUUACUCGUAGGCACAGUGCAUGCUAAACAAGAGGCAAUUUCUAUGGAUCCUAAAGACGUAAUAAAUUCAGAAGUACACACACUAACAAACACCACCUACAAAUUGUAAAAUGUUGUAACCCUUCACCUUCUCACUUCCUAUAGAAUAGCGUCAUACCAGGCCCUUGCCCUUCUCUUUCCUCUGCACUUAACGGGAGAAUAGCUUUCUCUACUCUAGCGAAAACUCGAAGAACAGCACAAUGAUGAGCAAUUUCGAAUAAGAGGAGUUAGAGAAGAGAGACAAAAAAUUCUUUGCAUUGCACUCGAGGAUUCAGCUUUGAUUUAUUUUUAUUCUCGUGUUUAGCUAAGGUGAAAUCACCUUCCAUAAGGGUCCACUCAUCAUUUUCCCUACCCUCUUAUAUCAUCUAAUUAUUACUUAAAUUGGUCAUCAAGUUCCUUUUAUGUUAAACUGCAGUGAGUUUGAGGAACUGGAAGCUGUUCCAACUAUGGCAGUUAUGGAUGGUCCUCUAGAGUCAACUCCCUCAAAUGCUGCUGAUGCUCCUGAAGAUCCUGCUUUUGUGAACUUCUUUAGUGUAUGUUUUCUUUGAAAUAAUAUGUUUCUGCAUAAGUAUGCAACAUUACCACAAAAAUGCUGCAAGUCAUAUACUAUUUCAUAUGUUAUCACUUCUUUUUUGUGUGAGGUUCAACUUCUAUGAAGUACUUGUAUAUGACACCUGUCCUUAUCAUUGCAGACAGCUAUGACUGUGGGGAAUACUUCUAAUGCAGCAAUCUCUGCACAACCUUACCAGUCCAAUACAACUAUUUCUGUACCUUCUCAUCCCGCCAGUGUUGCUUCUCCUAUCGUGCCAACCUUGCAAAUACCAUGCCCACCUCUAUCAGCACCUACCCCUUUAAUGCUACCCAUUGACACCUCUGAAUCUGGCAACUGGAUGCCUAAUCUUGUAAAGCCUUCCUUAUUCUUUGUUGCUCCUCCAUCCUCCUCUGCACAUAUGAUGCAGCCUGUCUCUUCAUCUACACCAACAGCUCCGCCACUUAAUCCUCCCUUGAGUCUGCAAUGCCCAUAUGGUGCCCCAGUGCUUCAACCUUUUCCGCCACCAACCCCUCCACCAUCUCUUACUCCUGCUCUUACUUCAAACAGUGGACCAUUUAUCAGCAAGGAGAAAGUCCGGGAGGCACUGCUGGUGCUUGUUCAGGUUAGGAUUUCUGGUUAUGCAAAUGCUUGAAGCUGGAAUUGCAUCUGACAUGUUCAUGUUUACUGUUAUUAAGAUUAGGGGAACUUUAUCAUACAGCUGGUAUAAUCUUCUUAAUUGCAUAUUGAUAGUAGAUUUAAAGCUAGCAUAUUUAUAUUUGUAUUGUCAGAAAUGCUCUUUGGAUUUCUUAUGUACAAAAAUGCAUUCAUAGCACGCAUUUUAUCCACUCUUUUAAGUGACUUUGAAUUACUGUUUACUUUUUGAUGAUAUCUAAAUUGACAUGUAAAUAAAUUUAUGUUCAUCAGUGGAUUGAACUAUUUUUCACUUAUCCCAGUCUUCAAAAUCAUGAACCCCGCACCACUUUGCCAUGCUUAGAGCGCAAACACUAAUGCGAGACACUUAUUUUUUGUGAUGCAUUUUCAAUUAUUAUUUUUUUCCUUGUAUAUCUGACCAGCUUUUAUAUGUAAUAGGACAAUCAAUUCAUAGAGAUGGUCUAUCGAGCACUGCUGAAUGCACACCAUUCAUGACCAGCUGAAAGUGAUACCAUUAUGUAGCUGCUAGAUUUUGUCUACCAUGUAGCUUUCUGCAAGUGUAUAAAACCCAGUUUGUAUAGUGUUUCAACUCAAAUCAGUAUUUUUUAUGGAAAAAUUAUUGGUAUCAGUAAUUUUUAUGGAAAAAUUAUUGGUAUAUAAUUAUUCUUGUUUCUUUUUGUUAGGGAUGAUGAAAAAACACUUGCAGGAUUUAAAUGUCAUUUUUGGGUUUGAGCUUAUUCUAAGUUACAGGCUUCGAAAGUGUGUUCAUUUAUACCCACAAUUUAGUUAUGCUGGUUAAACAAAAUGAGCUGGGAUAGUUUUUGGAUUCAUGACAUGAAUAAAAUUGGAUUAUUUUGUGCACGGUUUGGUGUGUUAGGUGUGUUUGUUGUGAGGAAGAGGGCAAAAAGAAAAAAAAAAUUGUGGGUUGUGAAAUUUCUUAAAUGAACCUUCUCUUAUUGGUUCUUGUUUGAAAGUUAAAUUGUAAUCGUAAAAGUUGUUUGGAAGCUAAGAAAAUGAUAAAAAAACUUUCUGGGAAACUCUUGACUUUAUUUAAUCUCACGUUAUUACUUACAAAUACAAUCACAACAAUAUUUAUACUAACACUGAUAUCUCAACCAGGAUUACAGUUGAUUAACAACUAGAGAACAGAACGUAAAACAUGAUUAACAGAUUUGUUGAGCUAGCUUCUUUUGUCAAUUAACUGCUGACUCAUCAUUGACACACGUGCUAAGUAUGCAGCUCCCUUUUGUACAUUGUGAGCUUUCUUAACAGCCCCCCUCAAACUUAAGGGCAUUUGAGUUUGCUCUUGAGGUAAUUAAAUUGAGUGAAUGUGAGAGGCCUGGUCAAGAUGUCUGCAAUCUGUUCUUCACGGGGAAUGUAAUUGAUUUCCAGCUCUCUUGCUAACACUUUGUCUCUUAUAAAGUGCAUGUCCAAUUCAAUAUGUUUGGUUCUCGAGUGGUAGACAAGAUUUUUGACCAGCUCAGUUGCACUUAUGUUAUCACACCAGAUUGUGGGCAUUGAAACACAUUCAAUCUUGAGUUUCUUGAAUAAUGACUGUAACCAUGUAAUUUCUGCACUUGCAGAAACAAGAGCUCUGCAUUCACUCUCUACACUAGACCUUGUAACUAUAGAUUGCUUCUUGAAUGACCAAGAUAUCAAGUUAUUUCCCAAGUAAAUACAGUAUGCACCUGUUGAUUUCAUAUCAUCAAUAUCACACGCCCAAUCUGCAUCUGUGAAACCUGUUAACUUUAUUUCUCCAUCAGCUGAAAAUUUCAAUCCAUAGUCUUCUGUUUCUCUCAAAUAUCUAAGCAUUCUCUUAUAGGCUAUGAUAUGUUGUAGUGUAGGUGCAGAACCGUAUUGGCUUAACUUGUUCACUGCAAAAGCUAUCUCUGGCCUGGUCAGAACUAAAUACUGCAGCCCUCCAAUUAAACUUCUAUAACUUGUUGCAUCUUCAACAUGCUGACCAAUCCAUAGUCUUCUGUCUCUUUCAAAUAUCUAAGCAUUCUCUUACAGGCUAGGAUGUGUUGUAGUGUAGGUGCAGAAACAUAUUGACUUAGCUUGUUUACUGCAAAAGCUAUCUCUGGCCUGGUCAGAACUAAAUACUGCAGCCCUCCAAUUAAACUUCUAUAACUUGUUGCAUCUUCAACAUGCUGACCCAAAGAUCCCUUAGCUUCCUUUUGAAGUUUUGUCCCUGUAAUCAUUGGUGUAUCACAUCCUUUGCAGUGAAGCAUAUCAGCUUUACUCAGCAGGUCUCUAAUAUAUUUUCUUUGGGAUAAUUAAAUGUUGUUCUUAGCAUAAGAUACUUCUAUACCCAAAAAAUAUGAGAGUCUUCCCAAAUCUUUCAAUGCAAACACUUUGCUGAAAUCUGAGAUAAACUUUUCAAGUUCAUCACUGUUAGGCCCUGUUAUCAAUAUGUCAUCAACAUAAAUCAAGACUAGUACCAUUAAAUCUUGUUUUCCCUUAAAGAAUAGUGAAGUAUCAGCUCUGGAAUUUUGAAAUCCCCAAUUUGUAACCAAACAACCUUUUAGUUUAUCAAACCAAGCUCUAGGAGCUUGUUUCAACCCAUAUAAAGCCUUCUUCAACUUACAUACAUAACAUGAUCUCUUCUCAUAAAAAAACUUCAGGUUGACACAUGUAGACAUCUUCUGUUAAGUCACCUUUCAGAAAAGCAUUGUUGACAUCUACUUGUCUGAUCAUCCAACUAUGCAUUGCAGCCAAGCUCAAUAUAACCCUCACUGUGGAAGCCUUUAUAACAGGGCUAAAAGUUUCGAAAUAAUCAAUCCCUUCAGUUUGUUGAAAUCCUUUAGCAACCAAUCUAGCUUUGUACUUUGCUAUACUGUCAUCACUAUUUUGUUUGACCCUGAACACCCAUUUGUUUCCAACUAUUUUGCAUUCAGCUGGAGGUGGUACAAGAGACCAAGUCUCAUUCCUGAUCAAAGCUUCAUAUUCUUCUUUUAUGGCCUUAUACCAAUUUCUAUCAUUCAGACCUUCUUGAACUGUGUCAGGUUCUUUGUUGAUCAAGGUGGUUGUAUACAACUUAGGCUUGAAUAUUCCAGACUUUGAUCUGGUAAUCAUUUUGUGUGUGGGUUGUGAGAUCAGAAUUAUGUUUGGAUUAUAUUCAGUGUGUUGCUGAUUGCUUGUUUGUGGUUCGGGUUGUGUUUGAGUAUAUUCAGGGAUUUGAGGGAUAACUUGUGAUGUUGAUGGUUAUGAUAAAGAAUAACUAUAUGAUUCUUGUUGAUGCACAUUAUUUGUAUGCUCAGGCAAUGCAAGAGUUUGUUCAUCACUUGGUACACUUGCUGAGUAAGUAUCUUCAAAGCUGCUGUUGAAUAAGGGUAGAGUUGAAAGAUGAUAGACUUGUUGUUUAGAGAAAUUUGACACUGGUGUUUCUGAUUUGGCAACAUUUUCAGAUGAAGAAGAAACAAAGAUUGUUGUAUAUGGAAAUACACUUUCAUCGAAAACAACAUGUCUAAGGAUAUGAACUUGACCUGAACUUGUGAGACAUUUAUAUCCCUUAUGAGAUGAGCUAUAACCAAUAAAGAUGCACUUACUGCUAUGAAAGUCAAAUUUAUGUCUUUUAAAAUCUCUCAAGUAUGGAUAACAGAGACAACCAAAGCAUUUAAGGAAGCUAUAAUCUGGUUUAUGCUUAAAAAGCUUCUCAUAUGGAGAUAAGAGUUUCAAUACAGGUGUUGGUAAUCUGUUUAUGUGAUACACUGCUGUAUGAACAGCUUUCCACCAGAAUUUAAAAGGAAGAUUAGCUUGAGCUAAAAGAGUCAAAGCUAACUCAAUUAUAUGUCUAUGUUUUCUUUCUACUAGACCAUUUUGAUGAUGUGUGUAAGGGCAUAAAUGUCUGAAAAUGAUCUCAUUCUGGUUUAAAAAAUCAGUAAAAACUCUAUAUUUUCUCCCCCAGUCAGAUUGCAGCAUCUUGACUUUGGUAUUGAACUGAUUCUCUACUUGAAUUUUGAACAAUUUGAAGACUUCAAAAGCUUCUGAUUUGAGUUUGAGUGGGUAAACCCAUAUAUACCUACUAUAAUCAUCUACAAAGCUAAUGUAGUAUUUAAAACCAUUUCUAGAUGUAGUAGGUGAAGGCCCCCAAAGAUCAGUAUGUAUCAGUUCUAAUACUUGAGUUGUUUUGGUUUUGGUUGUAGAAAAAUGUUGCUUGUGAGCUUUUCCUAAUUGACUUGCUUCACAUAUAGAAUGCACAGGAGAUAAAAUUGACUUUUGAGAUACUUUAACUUGUUUACAAGUCUUAAGCAAAUGCACCAAUACUGUUGAGCUUGGAUGACCAAACUUUCUGUAUAACAAGGUAAGUUCAUCAUGUUUCUGGUUACACUUAUUUGAAAUUGAGCUGAAACAAGUCUUAUCAAAACAAUUACAAUGAUGAGAAAUAGAAGACACAUUUGAGCAUGAUAGCAUGGAUAUUGGUUUAUGUGACUGAAGUUAAGAAAGAUGAAAGGCAGGUGAUGUGUGAUAAGCAGAAGAUGACAGAGAAGAAGAUUUAAUCAACAGCUUGUAAAGACCUUUCUUAGCAAGGCCCUGCAGAAGAACUUGCCCCUUCAUGUCCUUAACAUAACAACCAUUUCCAAAAAAUUCAACAGAGAGUGAAUUAUCAAAUGUAAGUUUGAAAAUGCUUAGUAAAUUCUUAGUGAUUGUAGGAACAAGCAACAUAUCUUUAAGUGCUAUAGUGGUGGCAUGUGUGUAAGGAUGUUUUGAAGCUCUAAAUGAUAAAAAUGCAUGACCAAUAUGAGAAAUUGACAGACCUUGACCAUUUUCAAUAAUGAGUUGAUCAGUACCUUUGUAGUCUUCCUUAAAAUGCAAGUUCUCCAUAUUGUUGGUCAAGUGAUGAGUUGCCCCACUAUCCAAAUACCAGCCAUCAUCAGCAAAGCUUUCAAAAUUAGCCACAUAAGCUUCUGCAGGUGCAUAGUUAUCAAUUUCAGAAUAGCAGCUUGUCUCAGAUGCAGGAUGAUUAUCAUAGUUAUCAUAACCUUGAUAUGGACAUAUAAAGCCAUUAAAAUUAGCAAUAUAUGCUGAUUUUGGUCAUUUGCCUCUGUUUAGACUCCUUGAAGAAGGGACAUAAUCCUCCAUAAAUCGAUGCCAGUAAAUAUCAACAGUGUGACCAGGCUUAAAGCAAAUUUGGCAAACCAAUUCUUCUGCAUUGUUUGGAAUUCCUUGAAGUCCAUUCAUACUAGUAACUCCAGUUCGAGCAAAUUGUAUUGGAUUUCUAGGUGCAUGAAAAGAGUUGACAUUAUUUGAGCCAAAUAAGUGUCCUCUUCCAUAUCCACCUCUGUGAUUUCCAUUAAACAUCCUUGGAGACUGAAAAAUAUUUCCUCUUCCAGCAGUAUGAUUUCUACCAGUAUUACCAAAUAAACAUCCUUGGAGACUGAAAAAUAUUUCCUCUUCCAGCAGUAUGAUUUCUACCAGUAUUGCUAAACUGAGCACCGGCAUAUCCUCCUCUUCUAAAAUUAUUUCUUGAUUGAGCAUAGAAUGCCCUUGGAUAAUAGGCAUUUGUAUAAGCAUAAUUUGCAUUAAACAUGCUUUUAUCAUUCUGCUCUUGUUCAAGUCUGGUUUCAUGAGUUAAUAAUAAUGCAUAAGCAUCAUCAUAGUCCAUUUUAGAACCAGUUAUAAAGGUAGCAAUAUCACGAUAGCCUGUUCCUAAGCUAUUAAGAAUUGUCAGCAUGAGAUCUUUCUCUGUUAUAGGACUUCCAGCACUAGCAAGUUUAUUUGCUACAGUUUUCAUUUUGAUGCAGUAGUCUUCAAUACUCAUUGAUUCCUUCCUAAGAGUAUUUAACUCAUAUCUAAGUUGAAGAACCCUAGCUUCAGAUUGCACACCAAAUUUCUUUUCUAAAGUUCUCCAAACAUCAAAAGAGCUUCCACAAUUUAUGACAAGAUUUAGAGUACCUUCACUUAUUGAUGAUAACAUCCAUCCAAGCAAAGUUUGAUCCUGUGACCUCCAAUUCUGAUAUUCUGGAUUAUCAAUUUUCUGAAUAUAUCCAUAAGCUCCAACUUGAGUAAAUUGUUCUUCAGGUGCUGGCUUUGUUCCAUUGAUGAAACCUUCUAAUCGAUUGCCUCUUAUGGAAGCUAAAACUUGAAAACGCCAAAGUAAAUAGUUAGAACGAUCUAGCUUAAUUGGAGUGUUGAAAGAAAAAUUUAUUUGACUUUGUUGAUUUGUUUGCAGAAAAAUUUAUUUGACUUUGUUGAUUUGUUUGCUGAGUACUAGAACUUGCCCUGUUUGGCUCUGAUACCAUGUUUGAAAGUUAAAUUAUAACUGUAAAAGUUAUUUGGAAGCUAAGAAAAUGAUAAGAAAACUUUAUGGGAAACUCCUGACUUUAUUCAAUCUCACGUUAUUACUUACAAAUACAAUCACAACAAUAUUUAUACUAACACUGAUAUCUCAACCAGGAUUACAACUUGGCUAACAACUAGAGAAUAGAACGUAAAACAUGAUUAACAGAUUUGCUGAGCUAGCUUCUUUUCUCAACUAACUGUUAACUCAUCAUUGACACACACGUGCUAAAUAUGCAGCUCCCUUUUGUACAUUGUGAGCUUCCUCAACAGUUCUUGUAUAGAGCUGGGUUACCAUCAGAAAUAAAGGAGGAAAUGAAUCGAUUACUAUAACUCCCAAGGCGAUAAUUGCUACCUAAAUCCCCACUAGCAUAUAACAAAUAAAGAGUUGCAAAUCUGAUAGUUAUUCCAAGUUCUAGUUAUCCUCUAUAAGUUGAGCUACCCAUUACUCUCACCCUGGACUAUAAUUUUUUUUAUUUUAAGUUUGUCCCAGUUUCCUUAAAGUGUAGUCUCGUCGCCUGCAUUUAACUUUCAUCUGGACCUGAAAUCUCAACCGUCAAGUUUAAUAGAGAACUUACACACACUCCAGAGGGCGUAAGUUAAUCUUCAUUCAGAUCGUGUAAAAAAGAGACCUUUUGCCUGUUAUGAUGUGUAAAAGUAGAGCCCCAAAUCUGUUAGUUUUGGCUGCCAUCUAAAGAAAUUCCUACUGCGAAUGGUUAAAAAUUUCAUUAACUGUAUAUAUACAACCGAAUAGCAGCAAUGAAAUUACUAAGUUGUUCUUGGACAAAUUGCAUCAAAUACUUUUAUUGAGUUAUUAUUCCAUGCAUGCAAAAGAAAAUUCUUUUAAAAUUACAUAUAAGUUGUAAUGUAAGGAAAUUACAUCCAUCCACGAUAGAAUCUUCUAGGAAUAAGAUUAUCUGCUACAAAAUAAUAACAAGAGGUCAUACACACUUCAACAAGGUAAAACCAUCUUCGCCGCCAGUAGGGGUUUAUGUACAAAACUCCAAUAAUUCCUAUUAUCACAAUUCCAUAAGAUACUGUAAAAGUGAUCAGGAAACUGUCCGUGUCAAUUAAACUAUCACCUUCAUUUUCGGUGGAAGCUUCUGGUGUCACUGUUGUCAAUCCAUUAUCAUUGCAACUUUUGGACAGUGGUUGUCCACAAAGAAAAGGAUUCCCUUCAUAGCUAUCUUCCUCGAAAGUUGAAAAUUGUGCUCUAUCUGGAAUUUUACCAGAUAAGUUAUUGUAUGCUACUUUGAAAACCUCCAAUGUAUUUAGCACAAUGAGUUGAGGAGGGAUUUUCCCAUGCAGUAGGUUGUAGGAGAGGUCCAAGCUUUCGAUUUGCUUCAGGUUUGAAAAUGUUGUCGGGAUUGUGCCCGUCAAAUUGUUAUGAGAUAGAUUUAGUGCAUGAAUCCUAGUAAGAUAUCCAAUUUGAGUAGGAAUCUCAC
rnacentral:lncRNA from 1 species